UUUUUUUUUUUUUUUGUAGGGAAUCGUUGGGACUUUGAUGGUUAAAGUUGAGGAGUUGAGGAUUAUGACACUAUAGGACCAUAUCCGCUAUCACCACCACCACAAUAGACUUGUAUUAGGAUUUUAUUAUUGUAAUUUGUUAAUUUAUAUGUACAUAUUUAAUAAAAUGUAUAUUGUGGAUAAUUUGAUCACUAUUUUUCGUAUUUAUUUUAUUUUGAAUAUGUCAAUUUAAAUUAAAGUAACAAAAAAAAAUAAAGCCAUACAAUUAAAUUAAAUUAAAAAUUAAAAAAAUCUUGCACUAACAAAAGGUCAAUUUAAUUAAAUAAAAAAUAAAAACAAAAAACUUUUGUGGCUCAAAAUCUUGCGCUACCAAAUAUUUUGUUGCGCAAAAUAUUAAAUUAAUUUAAUUAAAUUAAAAAAUCAAAAAUAACAAAUUUUGCGUGACAAACCAUGCUUUCGUCGCGCAAAGUUUUGAGUGAUGAAAUCUUACUUCGCGCAACAAAUCUUAUUUUGUUGCACAAAGUGUUUUUUGUAACUGUGGGUACAGCUUCAAGUUGGCUGCAAAAGCAUAGAAAUCGCCUUUUGGAUCGAUGGAAUCUUUUAUUGAAAAGGGAAAGAGUGGAAAAUGGAACUGUAGUUUUAAAUUGGCGAUUUACGGGAAGGAUAUUUUUAUGGAAUGAACUAUGUGGAAGAUAUAUGCAUGGAAGGUUCUAAUUGAGUGAAUGAUACAUGGUCUCAGCAAACUUUUCACUUUGGACUGCUCUCUUUUGUGCAUCUGUUGUGUGGAUUUAUUUGCUUUGAAGGUACUCAAAGUAGAAUAAAAAUUGGAACAAUCACUGAACAAAUUUAAUCGGCUAGGAAUGAGCUAACAAUAUAUAUAUCAAACACGCGUAAGCAUGCGCGUCACAUAUAACUCCAUCCUGCAAUUAUAGGAGGGGAGAAAUCAGGAGUCGCAGAGAAUAACCAAUGCGAGCAUAUGUGAGCACCACCAAUCAGCAAUGCCGACCAUUUUGGGUGCACCAAGGAAUUGUUAUCAAGUCGUUGGAAGAUCAAGAUAUUCAAGAUCACGUAAUAGCUAGCUAGAUAGGGUUGUGUAGAGUAUAACGACGUGGCUGGGUUUGAAGCAGCAAAUAAUUAACAUGGUAUUUUCGUUCUUGUACGGUGAUUCUUGAUGUCAGAAGAAUCAUAAGGAACAGACCAAGAUAUUGUGGGCGCAAGGAUUCGAUUGUGUCCUCACACUCAUUUUCCUCGUCAACUUGUCGUUCUUCUCAAAGUGCAUAUUGCAAGUCUUGGCUCCACGUUGGUUUUGCCUGCAGUAGAAUAAAUUUUAACAGCUGUGAGUUUAUGCCAAAGCCGACCCACAAGCAAGCCGAACAAGACAUGUGCUUUGGGCAUGACAAGGAACUAAGUUUCGUAUUUUCUUUUCAUACCCGUAUUUUACGAGACUGGCUAUAAUGCUUACUUGUAUAUGAUACAAUCAAAUAUUUGACAGUGAGAUAUAAGUCAUGUGAUAUUUAUAUAAUACAAUCAUCAUCUAACCGUCAAAAUAAUGAUUGUAUUGAGUACAUGUAAGUAUUGUAGUUAAAUUCCAACAUUCUUUGUUUAGUUAAUUCAAACUGUUUAAUCUGACCAUCGAGAUGACUUUCUCACCUCCACAAAUAAAUUGUAAUGAUUUUUUUUUUUUAUCUAAGAUAGAAAUUGUUGUUUGCUACACAUCUAUCAGAGGUGGGCGUACCCUACUAACCCGAGAGCUUGAGGCAUGCAUAAUGUGAACUUGGCAUGAGGUGGUGAUAUGAAUUAUUCUUCCACUUGACUUAAUUCUUCAUACAACCAAUCACUUUUAAUGCCUUCUUAGUUAUAAGACCACGCUACAAGACUCGGCGACAAAUUAGUUAAUAUUAUGUUCUUUAAAUAAUUAUUAUCUCAUGGGACAAAGAAUCAAUAGGGAAACAUCAUUUACAUGAUUAUGUCUUAAGAAAGCUAGGUAGGCAAGCAUUGGUCGAAUUAGAAUGUGGAUUAUUGAUGCAAAUUUCCGCCAUCUUCAGUCUUGACGAAAAUGCACCUGCAAAACAAUUAACAUCUUUAAUCAAGGACCUAAGCCUCACACACCCACGAGGUGGGGGGGGGGGGUUAGGCCAAUGGAUCUCUGAUGCCUAAGUUAGUUUCUCUAUGAGAAUAAAGUGUUUAGGGCCUUUUAAGGGUAGCAAAAGCUUCUGAAAUUUGGUAGAAUAUAGGGUAUUUAUAGGGAUAGAGCCAGCCAUAGUCUUAGGGUUUAUGGAGAAAUAUUAUCAAGAUAUUAAAUAGGAAAUAAUAUCUUGAGAUAAUUGAGUAAUUAUCCCUAAUUGAUUUAAAUUGAGAUUAUUUACUUGAUUGGAGUCAAUCUUCAAUUAGGAAUGUAUUAAAUAUAGAAUUUGGGUAAUUAAUCCUUAUCUUUAAUGCUUUGACUUUUCCUUGCCAAGGGCAGGUGAGCUGGGGGCAAUCGUAUUCAGUUGCUGGGACCUUCAGGGGUGUGAGCUGUGCAUGGGAGCAUCUAAGAAGUCUGCACAUUUGUUGAAGGCAAUCUUGUCUUUCUUGGGAAAAAGCCCAUGUGUCGCCUCUACAAUUAAUGAGAUUAUUUUAGGCUCCACAAAUGCCCCACACCUACUGGGCGGCACGUAGAAAAAUGGCAGUAGGUGUAGAAAUCCCAAGCUAUGUAGGCUUGUAUAGUUGUUUCCCAAUUUGAAUUUGAUAUUCUUUCUUGAUUUGGAGAUAAACUUCUUCUAGGAAAAGGAAACCAAUUGCCCCCAAUACCUAUUUAAUUCUGCCUUAAGCAGGGGAUUAAAUAAAUUUGGAGAACAAUCAUCAUUCCAACAAGGAAGAGAAGCCAAAGGAAAUUUUUCUUCCCCCUCCCCUAACUUUCUUCUUCUCUUGCCCUUGCAAGGAAUCGUCUCUUGUUGUAGUUCUUCUUUUCCGUGCCGCACCAAGGUAAGAAAAAUUUGAAUUUUCUUCUUCUUGAUUUCUUUGGAGUCUUGGGACUUGAAAAUUGGCUCGGUAAUGGUCGAUGAGGUGUUAAACAUACAACAAGGAUGCCAUAGGGCUGCUGGUGGUGCGGCAAGGGAGUCAGCUGGUGUGGGCCAGGGGUUUGGCUUAACUUGGGCCAAGAAGAGAGGUGAGUUGGGGCGUGGAGAGGCCAACUUGGGCUGAACCUUCAAAGUUGGUGAGGGAGAGAAAGAGACCGGUGCGGGCUGGGUCUUUUGCUGGCGUGUCAGGCUAUGUGGCCUUGGGCCCUUUGUGGUCCUGUGGUCUUUGGGCAAUACUGUGGAACGCUGGGCGCGAGAGAGAGGGAUAACAUGGUCUGGGCCGUAGAACCUGGCUUGCUGUUGGGUUCCUGUAGCUUGAGCCUGUGCGGAGAAAGAGUGUGAGGGCCAUGGGGCAUAGCCAGGGGCGUUGGGCUCGCAGUUCUUUUUAUUUUGUUUUAUUUAUAUAUUUUUUUUGCUUCUUUCGCGAGCUGUCUUCCUCCAAUCGCAAAAGUGAUGAAUAUCCUCCAAUUUUGUAUUGUCAAGGUGGUUUUUCUGGCAAGGUGGGCUAUUUCAAGGCUGCGCAUGUCAAGAUCAAUUUUGAGGAGUUGUUUCGGGAUUAUUUUCUUGAGCCUUACGAGCAUGCAAUUCCGUCAGGGGUUUGCGACAAGCGGGUGAAGGAUGAUAGCGGCCAUAAACCAUGCAGUGAGGGCACCACUACUAGGAAGAAGGCUAUCAAAUUCCAUUCGUAUUACUUCGUGUUGGGAUUCAAUUUUCCCAUGUCGCGUCUUUUCCAAGAGGUGAUAUGCUCCAUGAAAUGCACGCCUGCUCAGUGCUCCCCCAAUGCAAUUCGUGCGAUAGUGGGAUUCCUCAAUCUGAGCAAAUUCUUUAAUCUUGGCUUAGCCAUAAAUGAGUUCUGGUACUUUUUUGAAAUCGACCACAAGGAAGGUGUAGGGCAUCUGAGAUCUCACCAUAAGCCGCUCGAUGCUCCCUGCAAAGGUGAUUAUGAAUGGGCAAGAGACACCUUAGAGGUAAGUGGAGAUUAGAAGUUUGACUCCUCUCCUGAGCUGCGCGUUCCAACUGUCUUUAUUAGUGGUAAGUGAACUGCUUCAUUCUUGUCCUACUUGAAUUUUUGUUAAGCUGCUCCAUGACUUCAAUUUACUGAUCGUCAUUCUUACUUCCAGUAGAUUCAGAAUUUGGCUCAACUCCAAAAACUUUGGCCGAUAUGAAGAAAGUGCACAUCGCCUUGGGCAUUUCUGCUGAAUACCUUGAGUGGCGCUGAUUGCUCAGUCCUCUUCGUUGGGAGAAAGGCGGGCUGCCUCCGAAUGAAGAGAUAAAACGGAUAAAGGAUAAGGCGCUUGCUCAUCUAAUCGCUGUUGUAGAGCCUACUGCUAAUGAGGGUGGAAAGAAGAGAUCUUAUUCACCUGCCAGUAGGCUUUCGAUUGAGAAAAAGCCAAAGACUUCUUCUGCUGCUCGUGAAGGCUCGUUAGCUACUAAAAAGCUUGUGAUUGAUUUGACUUCUCCAAAGGGGACAAAAAAGUCCAUUCAGCCUGAGCCUGUGAAAUCUGCUGUUUCGAAGGUGGCCACGUCCACUGCUGAAAAGAUUGCCUAGCGAAAAGGUUCAGUGGUGCCCCCAAUGUCCGAGUUUGUGUCGAAUAGCCCUUCAGGAGCUAAGUCCCGUUCAGCUUAUGAGAGGCUCACUGCUAUGAAGAACAUGAAGGUGGAUUCUAUUACUAAGGUAGCACUGGGCAUGUUCCUCCUUCUGCUACGACUUACUCGUCUGCUGAGAAAGGGAAAUUUGCUCACAUGGGUAGUUGUGAGAGAUCCACCGAGUCUGAGGCUAGUGAGUUUCCCGAGGUUUAUGUGCUGCUGAAGGUUGACUUGCUUGAGGAUGUCAAUGUAUGCGCCAAGUUCAUUGACAGUGUCGUGAAAGUUGUCAUCCGAUCAAACUCUUUUGCGAAACAUCCUGCCUAUUUGAGGAGGUCCUUCCUGAUUGCCACAAUGCAUAAGACUUUGAUCCUAGCAGUUGAGUCUAUGCACAUUGAUCAAGAUGUUGUCAAGUGUGUUAUGGAAGCCGAAGUGGCAUUAAUGGCUUAGCUUCGCUCAGUUGCUAAAAAGAUUGAGAAGCUCAAAUCAGAACUAGUCAUUUUGAAAGGGUCUAAUGUCUCUACCCUCAUUUCUAUACAACUGGAGACCGCUCAUCAGGAGGUCGCGUAUUUAAAGGCUAAGCUUAGUGCGACUCAGUCAAUGAUGGAAGCUGCAGAGAAGGAAGUCAGUCGUGUUUCUCUAGUGGUCAAGGACCUUGAGCGUGUCAAUUCGGAGCUACAAUCUGCUUAUUUUGCCAAUGACGAGGAGUUUGUCUUCAUGCAUGCUACAGUGUCUCGUCUUAAGAAGCUUGUUUUCAUGCAUGCUGUCUGCUAGCGAAACCUAAGAAAUGAACUAGAUGAGCUACAGGGUGCUCACACUAGGCUUGUUGAGGAAAAUGUAUAGCUGAAGAAUGAGAAAGCUAAUCACAAAGUGGCGCUUGCUUCUUGUCAGGCUGAUUUCUACAAGCUUGGCUAUGUAGACCAUCUUCAGGGUAGGCCAUUAGAUUAUGAGUUUUCCAAGAAGGACUUCGAGACUUUCUCUAUUUCUCUAGUUGAUCUACUUGAUUUCUCGUUUGAGGCUGCCUUUGGUGAAGCAGCUGAAGGUCAGGCAGUCCAGGCAGAGGUAACUGAGGAUGAGCUGAUGGAAGCUUUAGCUGCAAAGAGCGAAGCAGUUAUUGAAGGUGUGGCAGUUGAGGGACUAGUGGUUACGCAAGCUACCGACGAGUAACCUUUUUGCUUAGACUUAGGAAUUUUCUUUUUUUUUCCUUUUCGUUUUGCUUUAUUUGAACUUUGUGGGCCUUCAAGCUAGUUUAUCAAUUUCUUAGAAAUUUAAUAAACAGAUUUCCUUGCUUUGCUUCAAUCUUUCUAUUUUGCCAUGUCUUUUGCGAAACUUUACAGUAGGAUGGGCGGCUGGGUAAGUUGCUUCAAUGAAGCAGUCAAUCCCACGUCAUCACUUAGGUUUUAGUUUCGGCUUUAGGGCUUCAGGAGCCUUGCUUGCUUGAGGCGACUUGCAAAACUUUACCGUAAGACAGGUGAUUAUGUUGGCUACUUCGAUAGAACAGUCGAUCCCACGUCGUCACGUUAGGCUUUAGUCUUGCUUUGGGGCUUCUAAAGAUUUACCUACAAGAGGAAAAAUGCGAGAUUUAUAACUUAUAAAGCCAGCGGCCUAACUCGUCACCUUCUCCAUGUAGUGCAGUAAUUGGUUAUGUGCCCGAGACCUCUGUAGAAUGCGCAGUACUUUGUCUGAUCCAUCUUGGAUGGGUAUUCUCUUAUAGACAGUGGCAGCUUGAACCACGACUUGUCCUUGAGGUCACGAAGGAUCGGGUUGAUCGGGAUUAAGAACUUGGUGUACAUUUUGGGCACCGUGCCUCCUUUCAUUAGGGAUCGAUCCUUGCGUCUGCUUCCUGGCUUGUUUUUAUUAUUGAGCGCUUUGUCACUAGCCUUCUUCUGAGUCAUCUCUGUGUCUUUGCGUAGCUACUCAGGCUACUUUUGGGAGGGUUUGGCCUCAUCCCAAAAGGAAUGCUUUUUCGCCAAAGCAUAAGAGUCUGCCAGGGUCAAGUUCUCGUCCAUGAUUACUUCUCUAAAAAGUGGGUGAUUUGUUAGAAGUCCAUUUCGGAAGGCUGAGCAUGCAAUGCUGUCAUCGCAUCCGACGAUCUUAGCAUUCUCCACCUUAAACCUCUUGACGUAAAUACGGAGUGGCUCAUUCGGGUCAUUCUUCAUGUUGAAGAGGUGAUCAAACUUCUUCUUGAUCAAGUGGUAGGACGAAUAUUUCAUAGUGAAAACCAAGGAAAGUUCACUGAAGUUCCUGAUUGAUCGUGACAGCAGGGUGUGGAACCAAUCUUGCGCUUCGCCUUAGAGCGUUGUGGUAAAAAUCUUGCACAUGAGAGCAUCGUUGUUGGUGUAGAGGGUCAUGUCGGUAGUGCAUCAGGUGCCUGUCCGGAUCUUCAUCUCCUUUGAACAAGGUGAAAUGUGAUAGGCUGAACUUCCGCAACGACUCCAUCUGCUUAUUCUCAUCUGUGAACGGUGACCUGCUCAAGUUGACCACAUCUCUACGAAGGGCAUCGUCAGAAGUGCCAAUACGCUGGAAUCCGCGCAGCUGCUCUGCUACGAGCCUUUGUAUUUCUUCCUGGAUUUGUGCUUAGUGAGGCAAUGAAACCUCUAACUGCCCCCGGUGUUGACCUGCUGGUCCAUGUUGUUCUUUGGCAUGUCUUGCUCGUCUGUGUCGCGGUCACGGUAAACUAUGAUACUUGCCGUAACACUGGGCGGGGGCUGCCAGUGGAACUUGAGCUUGAAUGCCCUCGUGCUCUCCUAUGUCCAUCAUGAGGCUGCCUACUCCGAAGCCUCGUAAAAGGAUUUCUUUGUGGGCCUAGCCUCAUGUGGACACUUCUCCUGGAAUGUCCUGAAUGCUCGUCGGAGUGUGGACCCAACCUUGAAUGCACACUGACUCGUGAACUGAGUCAAGAAUUAGCGUUUAUCUGCGUAUCUAGGCAGGAGAAGGCGCUUCCCUAAGGGCCUAAAAGAGAGUUCACACUACUUGAAUGUGAGAAUCUUUGUCAGGACGUCGCUAGACUGAGUCAUGUUCUUCCGCCCUUGUCCUACUUCUAGACACCUCAUUUGGGGCGUACUGCAUCUUGAUAUGCCUGAUAAGUUGGUUCAUUAAGGUGGUCUGCUGUAAGAGGGUGCUCGUCAAAUUAGCGACCUGUUGGGGCAGGUAGGGCUCGUCAUUUGGAUUAGAAAAGUCUGGAUAAUGGGUGUCUCCAUGUAUAGUGGAAGUGUAGUGGACUGCAGGUACAAAACUUGAGCCCAAAGCAAGCAUUCCUGCAGAAAAAUAAGGUGAAAAUAACCUUGAAUCGAUCACGUGAUCGGUGGUCAGAAUCUGGAUCACCGGAGGUAGCCUCGGGUUGGAUUGGGCCACAAGCUGGGUUGUCAAAGUGGGUCGCAGGGCGGGCCAACCCAGCUGGGUGGUGAGGUUCUGCGUGUGGUCAUGUUGGGCUCACGCAUAUGGCAACUGGUCUUGGGCCUGCACUGUGUGCUGGGCCGGUAUAUGAUCUUCGUAUUGGGUCUGGGCUACGCAUGCAAUAGGAAUGGCUUGGCGCUGUGUUUAGGUUAUGGCUACUUGGGUUGUUAGUUGGGUUCUAACUACUGCAUCUUGGGCCUUCUAAGCUCAGCCUGCUUCUCUAUGGACUUGGGCCUUCUGCCCAUGGGCUAAUAAAUAGACCUGGGCCCUCCCGCCCAGGGUUUUAGGAAUUGGGCCGCUGCAAAGGCAAUGUUGCAAGAGCUUGUGCCAUGGCCUGGUGGCUUUGUUGUGGCUACUGGGUCACGACGGUAAUGGUGAAGCAGCUCCGCAGCGGCGGGGCUCCUCCUGCCAUCGCGUUGAGCCUUGAUGAUCUAUGUCGUAGGGCUAUAUCCUCGUCUCCACUAUUCGAUCUGAAUCCUUGUACAUACGGGGUUCCGUUCGUUGUGGUUUCUAAAUUUCCUACCAUUGUAUCAUUUCUCCAAUGAUUGAUCAAGAAGCUUUUCUAAGAAAAAUUAAUUGAUACGACGUGUGAGAAAUUCAAUGUAACAGAAAAUUCAAGAAACCAAUGCAAAUUUCCGCCGUCUUCAGUCUUGACAAAAAUGUACCCGCAACACAAUUAACACCUUUAAUCAAGGACCUACGCCUCACACACCCACGAGGUGGGGGGGGGGUUAGGCCAAUGAAUCUUCGAUGCCUAAGUCAGUUUCUCUAUGAGAAUAAAGUGUUUAGGGCUUUUUUGGGGUAGCAAAAGUUUCUGAAAUUUGGUAGAAUAUGAGGUAUUUAUAGGGAUAGGGCCGGCCAUAGUGUUAGGGUUUAUGGAGAAAUUUUCUCAAGAUAUUAAAUAGGAAAUAAUAUCUUGAGAAUUGAGUAAUUAUCCCUAAUUGAUUUAAAUAGGGAUUACUUACUUGAUUUGAGUCAAUCUUCAAUUAGGAAUGUAUUAAAGAUAGGAUUUGGGUAACUAAUCCUUAUCUUUAAUGCUUUGACUUUUCUUUGCUAAGGGCAGGUGAGUUGUGGGCAGUUGUAUUCAGCUGCAGGGACCUUCAAAGGUGUGAGCUGCGCGUUAGAGCAUCUGAGAAACCUGCCCAUUUAUUGAAGGCAAUCUUGUCUUUCUUUAGUUUGAUUUGGAUAUUUGUGGCUUGGUUCCAACCUCUUUACCACCUCUCAAAAUGAUGGCUUUUGCAGAUUCAAAUCCACCUUUUGGGUUGACAACGGUUGAACUAGGCUAUUUGCCUUGCUCUUUGAAUUGGCCCAUGAAUUACGCCAUUUGCCCCAUUUGCUUCUUCAAUUCAUCUACCUCUUUGGCUUGAUUUUGCAUUCCCUGCACCACAUUGGUUAAUAAUUGAACAAUUUGAUCGUUAUCCAUGAACGAACCUGAUUUUGGUUGGGCAAAUUGUGGUUGGGGUUGUGUUGGUACGUAUAGCCUUGGAAACAUCCCAGGGGGUGGUGGUCGAAAUCCUCCUUGUUGUGGAAGUUGUUGAGGCUCCCUCUAUUUCAUGUUUGGAUGAUCUUUCCAGCCCGGAUUGUAAGUAUUAGCAUAUGGAUCAUAUUUGGGCUGGUUUUGGCCUUGAAACCCAAUGGCUUUGGCACUUUCCCAUCCUCAAUUCUCAAUCAAUUAAGGGCAUUUUUCAGAUUGGUGUCAUUGUAUAGAGCACAUGCCAUAAAUUGUGUUUUCUUGCACUUUGGGUCUUUCAACAACCUGUGACAUAAGAAGAGUGAGAUUAGCCAAUUGAGAUUGAAUUUCAGAAAUUACACUUACCUCAUUCACAUGUUGCGGCCGUGGGGGUUCUUUCUGUCCAACUCCUUCGUAUUGUUAUGCAUUCAAGGCUUGGUUGGCAAUUUGGGUCUUGGCAGGUGUUUGUCAACCAAAGCUCAUCCCGCUGAGGCAUCUAGCAUUUGUCUUUCAAUGGGAAGAAGUCAUUCGUAGAAAUAUUGAAGGAGAAGCUUUUCUUUCAUUUGAUGUUGAGGACAUGAUGCAACGAGAGUCUUGAAACGCUCAUAAUACGCUGGAAAGAAUUCUCCUUGAUUUUGUUAAAUGCCACUAAUUCUCUUCCUCAAAGAAUGACUCUUGACGUUGGAAAGAACUUCUCUAAGAAUGCUCUCUUCAUGCUUUCCCAAGAAGUGACUGUUCCAGAUGCCAAUUCAUACAACCAAUCCUUAGCCUUUUCCAAAAGAGAGAAUGGAAAAGCAAGUAAAUUAAAGACUUAAAUAAGUUUGCACAAAAUUGGGGGAAAAUAUGGGUGAAUGGCUAGCUACAAGGUCCUUCUCCACACAUGACACGCUUGCAUACAAAACGAUUUCCAAUUGCUUUUCCAUUAAACCAUGAACCUCAACACCCCAGAUUAACCGUGAACAGCACUAAUUAACCCUCAGAUUUUCCUUAAGUCAUUGAAUUGCAUGGAUAACACAUCGGCAACCAAAUUAUUCUUCAAUAGUUCCCUACAUGAACAGCAUAAUAGAGAUACAAUAAAAAAUCAUUAAGCUUUGUGAAAAUCAUUAAGCUUUGUGAAAAUCAUAAGCAUUGACAAGGCAUUCGUAACUAUAAACAGCAUGAUACUCCUGCCAGGAAUCUACUUGACACGAUUGUGACUAGCAACCUCGACUACUUAUGAAUAUAAGUUCAUAACAUUUAGGUGAAAUGAUAAGCUCAUAUUUAUAUAUAUUUUACAUCAAACUCACUUGUCUUUUCUUAGUUAGCUCCGUAUAUUUUUGAGCUAUUUACUUUGUUUUUGUGUUUUCUAGGAUUUGUCAAUCAAAGAAAAGAAAAAUAGCACAAGUGGGAUUUUAAGUAACAAAUUUGUCAAAACUGCCUGUGCAGGUCAACUGACUUUGGAAGCAAGUUGUGAACAGCUCAAAAUGAAUUACAGAAUGAGCUUUAUAUGCUUGGAAAGCUACGGAUGUCUAUUUUCUGGAGCAUUUCGUGGAUUGUUAAUAUCAUUUUUGUAGAAGAAAUGAUCGUUUUAACACUGAAAGGUUCAGAAGAGACUGAGCAGUUUGUAACUGCAAUGAAAGCAAUAAACCCAAUAAAUCUAGCAGCCAAAACUGAUGCAGCCAAGAACAAGCCAGUUGAUACCUAUUCAAAUAUCAGAGGAAAUGGAAAUAAAGAUGAGGAUUAAGUGGGAGAAAUUGGCAUAAAGGAUACCCAAAGAGUUACAAUUGUUUUACCAUUUCCUCUCACUUAUUGCCAUCACUAAAUGGCUGUUAGUGGGUGAGUUAAGGAGAAGAAAAUGGGGCAGCAAGUUAAAAAGGGGAAAGGCUGCAGGUUGCAGGUUGAAAAAAAAAAGAGAGGAAAAAAAACAUAAAAGAAAGAGGACAAGGCAGCUUUGCGGAAAGGAAGGAAAGGAAGAAGGAAAUCUUGGCAUUCUCUCCUCUCGGUUUUAUCUUCUCAAACUUAUGUCUUUCUUUUGGUUUUAUUUGAUAAUAAUGUGUAACUAAAUUUUUAGUAGUUAGGGGCUGUUUUGAAGCCCCGAAUAUGACUGCAAGUUUGUUAUGACAUUUUGUUUGAAUUACUUUUAUGAAUGGAUGAAAAUUGAUUCACUACUUGUCUCAUUGAUGAAUUCUUUAUGUGUUUUCUACGGAUGCAUACUUAGUAAGCAUAUCUAGGAUUCUAACGCUAUGAAUAUAUGUGUGCCUGCUCUUGUCGAAUGAGGACCUACAUAUGUUCUAAAGUAGUACUUGUUAAUUGCGAUUAACAUGUGAACCAAUUUCUAGGAUAAGUAAGACAACACCAGUACUUACGAUGCCUAGUGAUGACUCAAACUCUUUUCGUUCUUAAUGAUUUCUACUUGUUAAAUCUAUGAACAUGCCAUUCUAGAUUGCAUGCUAGGGACUAAGUUAAGUUGAAAACGCCAUUCUCUUAACGUACUACAUAAGAAAGAGUAAUAGGUUGAUUUAUAACAUUGAGCCAACUUGAGCAUCUUCAUCCUGAAAUAAAAGGAAUUUGAAUGAAACAUAACAUGUUUGCAUGAUUAUUUGGUGGUGGAUAGCAAUUCCCCUAACUCGUUUUUCUUAAUUUGUGAACUACUUAAACUUUGUUUCUGUCCUGUUUUCGUUUGAUUUAAUUUAAAUAGCAAAUCAACUCCACAAAUCCUAAAAAUUUGUGUGAGUGUAGCUCUGUGUGUCUAGUGUGUUUAUAUAAAAUUUCAUAGACUUUAGAUAAGUGUAAGUCAGUCUAAUAAUUAUUUUUCGGUGGCUGGUUAGUAGGGACAGCAACCAGUUUUUGUGACAUUUUAAGUAGUUAGAUAAAACAAUCUUCUGCGGGAAAGACCCUUAUUUUCAUAUGCUACAAUUGACAAAUCUUAGUGUUAUUAAGGAAAAUCAAUAGGACAUUUGUGUGCUACUUUGUGGUGUGCUUUUAAUUCUAUCAUGAAACUCCCUUAUAUGCUAGCUUCAAAUUCAUGCAUGCAAACUAAAUAUGCAUCCUUAAUCCACAAACAAGAACAAGUUCUGAAUCAAACAAUUAAGUAAAUUGCAUUCACGAUUUAUAGAAUCACAACUGGAAGUAAUCAAUUCAUAUUGCAAAUAUAUUCAUGGCUUUGAAUUUCCCCCUAGCGAAAACGAGUUUAGCUCCUCAUGUUCGCAAAACAAAGAUAAUUAAACUUAAACAUUGAAAACAAAAGAUGGAUUACAUCUAAGAAUGUUCCAGCAAUCCAACUUGAAUGGCAAGCACAUCCAAGGGUCCUCCUUCUUCUUUGUUGCAGCACAAGGUGUGGGUGAAGGUUUGAGUGAUGAAUUGUAUGAAGGAAUGGUUGAAAGUAUGAAUGGUAGUGAAUGGAUGAUUGAAUGGUGCGGCUAAGGCAUUUAUUUAUAGGGGAAGGAAAGGACACGGCUGGGAAUUAAUUUGGGAAGAGUUUAAGACUCCAAAUCCUCCAAGAAAAGGGUAACAAAUCAGAAUCCCAAGAGGAAAAGGGUAAGUGAGGUGCGGCAAGGAAAAAAGGAAAGGGGAAUCCCUUGCCGUGCAAGGGAAAGGGUUUCUAGAGGGCAUUGGUGCGGCAUCCCUUUGCGGCUGGGAUUAGGUCUUCUAGAACCUAACAUUAAGUGUCCAAAUAUAUUUGGGAACCCUCCUUUCAGCUGUAAGUUAGUUGGAUUAGGAUUAGGAAAGUGCUGGAACAAAAUAAGGUAACUUAACUAAUGUUUCCUCUUUUCUUGUUGAUCUCCUUAUCUUCUUUAAAUUAAUUCUUCUUUCUCUUUAACACAUUCCUAGCCUUUUCAGUCUUCAAUUUCAUUCAUCCACCUUGCUCCAAACAUGUGAUAUCCAUUCCAAGCCCAAAAAUGCUCUAAAAGGCACCAAAAUGCACUUUCUUACUACUUUAGUCAUUUGGAUCUACAAACACACGAAAAUAACUUAAAAUACUAAAAUAACUAGGAACUAAUAACAUAAAUGCAAGAAAAAGCUAACUAAGUCAUAUAAAUAUGCUCCUAUAUAUAUAUAUAUAUAGAUUAAAAAAGAGUGUAGGAAAUGGAGGGGUUCGAGAGUAGGGGUACUGGGAAGUAUUCAUGAGGCUACCUCUUUUAUGCUUCAAGAUCUCAAUUAAUUGUUGUUUUUUCAUGGUUAAGAGCAAUGGGGAAUUUUUUUGUCAUUAAGGGUAUAUUAGUACUUUUACAUUAAGUUUUGGUUAGAAUUAUCAUAAAACUAAAAUAAUGGCUAUAAUUCUUUAUGGGAUCUAAAAUAUGUUUUUCCAAAUUUCCCCACACACACACACACACACACACACACACACACAUUUAUAUAUAUUAUUUCAUCGUCAGGCUCACUAAUUUUUGGGGUUAGUAUUUUUAAUCUUGCUUAUGGGGUUAUGCUGCGUUUGGCUACUGUGGAAUUGUACCUACUCAAUUGAAGUAAAGUUUGAUAUUUAUUUACUUGAUGACUUCUAGGAAUAGUGAAGAUCUAAAAGAUAAAUGGAGAAUUAAAUCUAAUAUUCAUUUCGAUUAACUAGUUAAUUAAAUAGAUUAAUGUCUAGUGAGUUUGUAAUUUGUUUCUACAAUUAGGUCAAGCAAAUGCAGUUCUGUUUCAGAAACAGCAGCUGUUACAGUAAAUAAAUCUAAUAUUCAUUUCGAUUAACUAGUUAAUUAAAUAGAUUAAUGUCUAGUGAGUUUGUAAUUUGUUUCUACAAUUAGGUCAAGCAAAUGCAGUUCUGUUUCAGAAACAGCAGCUGUUACAGUAAAUAAAUCUAAUAUUCAUUUCGAUUAACUAAUUAAUUAAAUAGAUUAAUGUCUAGUGAGUUUGUAAUUUGUUUCUACAAUUAGGUCAAGCAAAUGCAGUUCUGUUUCAGAAACAGCAUCUGUUACAGUAAAUAGCUCAAUUGUUUCUGGUGGAUUGGUGCUCCUUUUCAUUUCUUUUUUUGGUUUAGGGCAAUGUCGUAGAUAGACACCUACAUUGUAGUGGACCUAGAUAUACAACAGGAAGAUGAGUUAAUUUUGUUUCUCUAAAAAUUCAGCGUCGUUAUUACUCAAAUAUAAACUGUUAGUUGCAGAUUUUUGUAGCAUUAUUGCAACUUCAUAUCCUUAGUUUAUGUAAUUUGUCUACUUGGGUUGACAUAGAAAGACCAAAAAAUUAAACACAAUUACCUAUCAGAUACGCCGUGGAACAGUAUCCCUACUUUCAUAUUCAGCUUCUCUUACCUUAGAAUAUUUGAAACCUUGCAGAGUGUCACCUCAACCUUUUUUCUUCCCUCAACUCCAUAUGGAAAAACUUGAAUGAACAAAAACUCCCUAGCUAGGAAUCGGUACAAGAAUUAUUGAAACAUAAUUAAUUGGACAAUACAUAAGAAAAUUUUAGUUGUCAGUUAUAAAAGAAGGGUUACAAAAUAAUAGCAGCAAGUUCUCAUCUAAAAAAUGUAGCUCGGAUUGAGUAAAACAUUAACAUGUGAGAAAGCAACUUCUGGUUAGAAAGCUUUCCAUGUAGGACUAUCCAAGCCAUCUUCAAGCCCCAACUGGUAUGGAUCUCCAAAGGGCAAUGCAAGAAUCAUAUGUCUGUAAAAAUAUUUUUCAAAACACUUCUAAUUAGGCUACAAUCUUUGUUAAAAUUUGUUUUAGCACUCGUCCUUCUUGAUUUUAUUGUUUUUGUGCUUAAACUAGCAAUGGUAUAUACUAUAUAUAACAGAAUUUAAAUGAAUAUGAAUAAAUACUCGGAUUGUAAAAUAGUGUAUAAUAGUAGUGCUCUUUAUUAAUUAACUCACCGGGGUUAGUUGCUAGGAAUCGUAUGGCAACCCAUUCACCAGACAGCACACCCACGGUAUUUCUUUCAACGGCGUUGAUCAAAUUAAAGUUUGCAGAGUCCUUAUUCCGGUCAAAGUUCCCGAACCGUUACCCAACAACAAAGAAAUUAAAUCCAUGCAGAUGAAAGGGGUCGCUUUCGGCGCCCAGAAUGCUUGUGUCUUGCAUGACCAACUCCGCCCUAUUGUUCUAUGGAAGUACCAUUAGUUUUGUACUACCAUAGUAUCAUUAGUUAGGAUGCCUGUAUAGUCAAAUGGAAUUAUAGGACUGCUUGGAAAGUCAGGGCUCUCGUUAAGUGGAAUUACAGGACUGCUUGGAAAGUCAGGGCUCUAAACCCCAUUCGAUUGCCUGGAGAAGUUCGCUUGAAGUAGAGCAGUCGUUGUGUUGAAGGAAUGAAGUGUGUCCCGAUGGGUUUAGGGUGUAUCUCUAGGGUAAGCUUUUUUUUUUGGUCAACGAUCUCUAGGGUAAGCUUAAGGCUAUAUUGUUGUGAAUCAGUUUUUCCUUAAUUUAAGGGAAGUGACUGAUUAGUGUAAAGUAGAUAAAGCUUUUCCUUGAUCUAAGGAAGGUGACUGAUUGGGUUAAGUAGGUUAGCUCUAGUUGGCUGUGAUAGACAGCCUUCUUUUAUUCCUCCUAGUCAGCUGCUUGCAGUAGCUAACUAUCCGGACCUCUUCUUCUUCUCCUCUCUCAUAUAUAACUUGUCACUUGUACAUUUGAAUAUAUGAAAAUACAUUGAAACUUAAAGCUAGAAAAUCUACACGUUGGCAUUGCAAAAGAAACGUUAUUAACUGAAGCUGCAAACAUUGUUCCAUUAGAUCCCCGAAAGGUUUGGUUAUUGUUGCUGCAGGGGUUCGUUCCAAGGCCUAUUGUGAAGAAAAAGUGUUUGUUAACCUUAUGGGGGACAUUAGCAGGAAAUUGUGCAUUGGCUAAUUAUUUGUAUCAUAUUUACGGAUUGAAAACAUCUUUUAUGUGAAAUUGAAUGACACACAUAUCCCAGUAAUCAACCUUGGAUGCUAAUUUUAGAUUUUAAUGCCAUUACUAGUUUAAAUGAAAAAGUAAGGGAUCAACGAGUAGUCACAAACUACAUGUUAAUUUGUGGACUUCCAGAAUCGAGGAGCCUUUCAAGUCUUAAUGCUUCUUGAGUUCCUUUUACGUGGACUAAUAGUCAUAAAGAUAAUAUUGUUAUCUUUGAAAAGCUUGAUAGAGUUAUGGCCAACUCUUAGUGGUUGUAUACAUUCCCCAAGUAUAGGGUUCAUAAGGCCAUCUCCAACCGAGGGUUGGCCAGAGGGCUCGUUUUAGCCCUCUGGUCCUCCAAGAUAUUAAUAUUUUAAUGAACAGUACAAGGCCAUAUUUGCCUCCAUCUCCAAUCGAGAGCCAAAGGGCCAUAUGACUCAUUUUAGCCCUGUCACAAAAAAUCGUCUCCAACCAAAGGACAUAGGGCCAAACAUAAUUUAUUAUUUAAAAACUACAAGUUAAAUUCAAAUUUAACAGCUAAGUGACAUUAGCAUGAUGUCAGCUAGCAGUUGGUAGCUGACUUCAUGCUGACAUUAGCUAGCCGUUGGAUUUGAAUUUAUUUUUGCUAUAAAUAGGGUGGAUAUUGGGCUAUAAUUCACACAACUUUGAAUUCAAUCUAUUUCAAUUCAAUCUCUUUCAAUUCAAUCUUUUUCAAUUCAAGUUUGCCUUUUAAUCCAAGAACUAGUAGUAUCUCUAUAAAUGAGUACAUGAGGCACUAUAGAAUGAUACGUUCUCGUGCUACAAACAAGUACCUACAACAGGAUCUUGUUGCACAUCUUUGGGCCAAAAGAAGCAUGGAGUAGGCGUUUAAGUUUUAUGUUUUUAAAAAUAUUGUAAGUUUCAUGCUGUUAAAUGUUUUUUUUUAUGUUGUAUAAUUUGUAUGUUGGUUAAUGUUAUUUAAUGUUGUUUCAUAUUGUUUAAUGUUGUUUCAUGUUACUUAAUUUAAUUUAAUGUUGUAUAAUGGCUUAGGACAUUAUAGGAAAAAAAAAUAUAAUUUAAAAAAAAUAUGAAACAAAUUUUGUGAAAUAACAGUUAUAGGAAAAAAAAAUAGAAGUUAAAAUAAAAUGAAACAAAUUUUGUGAAAUAGAAGUUACAGGAAAAAAUGGAAUUAAAAAAAAUAUAUGAAACAAAUUUUGUAAAAUAAAAGUUAUAGAAAAAAAAUAGAAUUUAAAAAAAUAUUAAAAAUAGAAGUUAUAGGAAAAAUUUUGUAAAUAAAAAAUAAUAAUAAAACUGUAAAAAAAAAAAAUCAAAUGCACAGCUAGCUGACGUCAGCUAGCCGUUGCAUUUGAAUUUUAGCUUUAGCAUUGGCCAGCCUCGAGCUGGCUAGCUACAUGCAGCCAGCCCUCCAGCCCUUUCAGAUUCCAUGGGGCCCUCUCAGAUUCCACGAGCCCUCUGGCCUAGCCUCGGUUGGAGACGGUUUUUUGGUUAUUUUCGGCAAUUUGGCCCUCUGGUCCCUUUAGUUGGAGAUGGCCUAACUUUCCUAUUUUUGGCUCUAACCAUAGCCCCGUUAAACUAACUUUUUUGGACAAGACUGCUAACUUCUAAACAAAUUUCAAAUUUGAAGCUAUUUGGCUUAAUGAUCCUGAUUGUACUAAUUUGGUUAAAGAAAGUUGGUUGGCCAAUUUCCAGGGUCAUCUAAACGAUAUGUUCAGAGCUUGUGAUAAUUCCUUUAAAUUCAAAGCGAAAGCAUGGAGUAAAAAUAUCUUCGGUAAUGUGACAAAGAAGAUAAAAGAGCUCCUAAGUGAACUGGCAACUGUUCAGGACUGUAUGAAGAAUCCUAAUAGGAAUGAUUGGUUGGAGAAGGAAAGGAAAUUAAAUGAUUCCCUUGUUGCUUUGUACAUGGAUGACGAAAUUCUCUGGGCUCAAAGACUUAAGGCUAACUGGUUGCAGCUUGGGGAUAGAAAUACCAGGUACUUCCAUACCUAAAUCACUAUAAGGAAAAGAAGAAAUGAAAUCAUAAAAAUUAAAGAUGAUCAUGGUAACUGGUGGGAAAAAAAGGUAAACGUAUGGAGGAUCUAUUUAUUCAAAAGUUUAAACAAAGGCUCACCAGCACCAUUCAAAGUCACAGAGAUAAUAAGGUGGAUGAAUCCAUAAGUGUUCUAAAUCCUGUAUCUCAGUAGAACAACAAUUUGCUCAUAAGGCCUGUAACUGAGGCUAAAAAUUUUUAGGCUGUGAAAGCUAUUGGGAGCUUAAAAGCUCCUAGUCCUGAUGGUCUCCACGCUAUCUUCUAUCAUGAAUGUUAGGGUCAUGUUAAGGGCUAGUAAACCUAUCCUUAAAAAUGGAAUGAGAUGGAUUGUUGGAAAUGGUAAAAACAUAAUGUUUUGGUCCCAUAACUAAAUUUUUCCUUUCCCAUUGUCCACUCCUAUUCAAGAUCAAUUAAUAAACUCUUUAAAUUAAAAUAUGAAAGUUAGUGAUGUCAUGGUAGAGAAAAUAUAGAACAAUGAGUUAAUCCUUCCAGUGCUGCCUAACGAUGUAGCAAAUAAAAUUUUUGCCAUCUCUAGCCCUUUAAAUGAUAUGGAGGAUGAGUUUAUCUGGGACCAUCUUUUAAUGGAAAUUUAUCAAUUAAAUUAACUACUUGGAUUCAAAUUGAUGAUGCUCACAGUAAACUUUUCAACGAUUUAUUCAAGAAAGUGUGAAAACUUAGUAUUCCACAUAAAGUUAAAUUUUUUGCUUGGUUGCUUAUAAGAAAUAGAUUGUCUACUUACAAGAGAUUAGAUAAGUAUCAUCAUAAUGGCCAAACUCUUUGCCCUUUAUGCAAUAUUGUAGAGAAUGAUCAACUACACUGUUUUGUUUACUAUAAUCAUGCUUAAGAAGUUUGGAAGCUUUGUAAUAACAUGCGUCCACCGCCACCACCCCCCCCCCCUUCCCCUCCCAUUACCAAUAUGAAUGAUUGGUUAGUGGGGAUGUUAGCUUUAGAUAAAAUGAUCUUUCUGACCUUAGAAAAAUCUCAAUUCUUUGUUGGCAAAUGUGAAAUGAUAGAAAUAAUUUUGUUUUUAAACAGAUUAAACCUUAUCCAACUUUCUGUCUGAUGACAACGACUAUAAUUGGAAAAGAUUUCCUAAAGGCUAAUUUGAAACAGAAACCAAGCAAGACUAAGCAACACCAUUAGAUGGAAAAUGCCUACAGAAGGCUUUUAUAAGCUCAAUUUUGAUGGGUCAGUGGAGGACACUUUUGCUGCUAUGGGUUUUAAAAUAAAAAAUCAUUAGGGGUGUGCUCGCUCGACAUCUUGGACCAAUCACUAUCACCAUGGAAGAAGCUUAGGCUCUCCGGGAUGCUCUGGCUUUGGCCAAAUAACGUCAAAUCAGGAAAAUUGUGGUCGAAAAGGGACUCAAAGGUUGUCUUUGAUGCAGUUUUUGGAAAGUGUACAGUACCAUGGAGAAUUAAGUCCAUCGUUUAGGACAUUAAAUGGCUUACCUCAUCGUUUGAGCUAGUAGAAUGGAACCAUUUCUACAACGAAGCAAACUUCAUGGUGGAUGCUAUCACUUCCCUUGAGCAUAAUUGUACUAAUUUAUAUAUGUGGGAUGGGUGUGUUCCUCACCAAGCCAGAAAAAAAAAGCUCUCUUGUAUUAUUCUCGAGGCCUUGGGUGUCAUUGAAGUUUCUAUUUAAUUUAAUCUUCUUUCUUCCUAAAAUAAAUUAACACAAAUACAUGUGUGAAUGACUAUAUACAAUUGAUAUAAUAUGGUCAUGUGCAUGGUCUAAAAUAUCCAUAAUAUCCCGAUAUUUCCAUCGAAAUUUCCGUGUUUUUGGACUACAGAUAUUUUUUUGGACUACCGAUAUUUCCGAUAUCAUCGAUAUUUAGACCUUGCUAAGUCACUCAUGUAUCUUACCAUGCAAUGUAUAAAGUGUAAAAUAUUGUACUAAUUCAUUAUAUAUAAAUGAUUAUGGUGUGUUUAAACUUCUUUCAUUAAUUACUACAUAUUUUCUACACUCACAAUGUUUGCCAGCUCGCUAUCUAAUCAACUUAAAUCAGUUAUACCUAUCAUGCAAUGCAUUUCCUUCCAAUUUUUUGUGUUAAACUAAUAGAUAAUUGACUAAAUAAACAUCGUGCAAAGUUUCAAUAAAAAUUUCCAAUUUUUUCUUAUAAUUUCCGUAGUUUUUAUUCAAUUUUUAUCGAUAUCGAUAAUAUCUCGAUAUUUCCAUCGAAAUUUCCGUGUUUUUGGACUACCGAUAUUUCCGAUAUCAUCGAUAUUUAAUACCUUGGUCAUGUGUGGGAAAAAUUAGGAAUUCUCAAAGGAAUGAGCUAAAUAUAAAAUAACAAAAGGAAAGGAAAAAUAAUGCAGAUCAACGGCCACCAAUUUAAUAACGGAAGCACAACACAAAAUUUAAAGACCAUCAGAAAAGAGGUAAUCGGCUUAGUUGUACUUGAAAAUGAUUGUUAUUAUGUUGCUUUGGGCUUUUGGAUGAUGGGUUAUGGUAAAGCCUCGUUUGGGCCAAAAGUCUUAUCUUGGACUAUAAUAGCCUAUUUCACUUCAGUUGUUAAUUACUUGCGCCCAAAUCUACUUGGACCAUAACAUGUGUCUUAAUUGUUACUUAGUACUACAGUAUAGUGAUAUUCUUCUUUACUUGUAAGUGACAGGUCUUAGAUUCGAUUCUCGCUAAAUGCAAAUUUGAACCACAUUAUUGCUAACUCAUUGUGAGGCUUAGCCCACUCCCUCACCCCGUUAGUGUAGAUAAUAUCGUUUGUUCCAAAAAAAACAUAUGUCUUUAUUUUAUCUUAAAGUUUUUCUAGAGUUGAGGAAUUGGUUGCAACUUUUGUUUCUUAAAUUUUGUGUUCUAAACUCUCUUUUAUUUGUCAUACAUAUAUACAAUAAUGUCGCUUUGAAUAUAUUAAGUCAUUCCGGAACCUCUUCUAACUAACGAACACAUACCUCCUUUCACUCUCCCUAUUAUCAACUUAUCACUAGGCAAAAAGAGGCGUCACAUUUGGUUUAUGACUAAUUGUUAAAUUGAGCAAUGAGCAUUGAAAAUAGCUUAUUUUCAACAGGUAAAAAAGACUAACCGUUAUGCCUCAUGUAAAUACAAGACCAGGACCGACUGUGAGAUUUUGGAGGCAUGAGGUAGGCCAAUGAAAGGGGGCCCUUGUGUUCUUAGGCAAUCUUACGUUUUUUUUUCCUUUUAUUUUUUAUUUUUUAUCAAUUAGGCAAUCUUACGUUGUACGUUGAUGUACGUUGCUUUUUGGGUUAAAAAUCACUAAUUUAUUAUUAUAGAAUGCCUUAGAUGAUACAAGACUUAAAAAAUCACAAUAAUAAAUUAUUGAAAAACACAUUAAUUUCAUAGUUUCUAUUUGAUUACCUUAAAUCGCAAUCUUGUAGAUCUUGUGAGAUUUGAUUUCCACCAAUAGAAUAGAGAGAUUGAAAUUUGAAAGAAAAGAGAGAAUUGCAAGAGACUUUGGGUGCGUUUGUUUGGGCUCGUUAACUCUUACUGGACUCGCGUGGAUUAUUUCCACCGCUAGAAGUCUUAGCGAGACCCAGAAACCCAUGAGACUGCUAAGACAUUCGUUGCAUUUUCAUCUUCUCGCCUUCCUCUCUGCAUCGCAUCCUCCCUCUCCUCUCUUUGCUCGCGUCGCCAACAUCGUAUCGUCUGGUAGUUUUGAUUCUCCCGUCGCGUCCUCUAUGCACUUUGGUCUCGACGUCGUCCGAUUCACUCCGAGCUUGCAUGCACCCUCGCUGGUAGACAAAGCCCAAAUUUCCUGGAAUUACAAAAUCCAUUCAAAUCGCAAAACCCACACUUAAAAUGCAAAUCCCAAAAUUGAAUUGCAAAAUCAAGUUCGUCUGAAGCUCACCAUCUGCACAUCUUUUUCAAUCGUGAAACACAGAUUUAUGCGGAACAACUUUUCAAGAUAAUAAUAAUAAUAAUAAUAAUAAUAAUAAUAAUAAUAAUAAUAAUAAUAAUAAUAAUAAUAAUAAUAAUAAUAAAAAGAGAGAAACAGGGAGAGCUUUUUUGAGAGAAAGUGUUCUUGAAAAAGGGGAGAAAUGAAAAGAAACCAGAAAAGAGGGAGAGCAUUCAGAGAUGGUUCUGGAAAAAGGGAAGAAAGGAAAAUGAACCAAAAAAGAGGAAUAGGGGUGGGCGCGGUGCGAUGGGCUGCGGUGCGGUGCGGUGUGGUUUUGAAGUUAAAAUCGAAAUGAAAUCAAACUGUUUGGUUCGGUUCGGUGUAGUUUUAAAAGGUUUCGGUUUGAUUUUUGAGAAAAAAAUGUACAAUUUAAAAUAUACAUCUAUUUAUACAUAAGAUGGUCUUAUUUUCCUCAUAUAUUAAUUAAUGAAUAUGCAGCAACAACAAUGCAGCAAAAAACAGUGGCAAAACUGCAAAAAAAGUGCAGCAAAAAGCAGCAGCAAAACUGCAAAAAACAGAAAAACAGCAACAAAAAACUGCACCAAAACUGGAGCAAAAAACUCAGUAAAACUGCAACAAAAACUGCAGCAAAACUGCACCAAAUUUGCACCAAAACUGCACCAAAAAACUGCACCAGGUUGCACUGUCGCAAACUUACAGAGAUGCAAGCAGAAGUAACCAGGUCGCAUAAUUAAAGAUGAGUUUCAAGAAGACGAGUUAAGGAAAAGAUGAGUUUUAAGAAGAUGAGUUAAGGAGAUGAAGAUGUGUUUCAGCCUUCAGGAGUCGAAGUGCAAAACUAAAUGAUAAUGAUAGUCUAGUAACCUAGUUGAACUAAUUAAAAGUUUAAAAUAUAACAUUUAUUUAUUAAUUUUAUUAUAUGGUGCGGUUUCGGUUUCGGUGCGGUUUUGAAAACCCAAAACCGAAACCAAACCGUUUUCUUUGCCGCGGUUUGGUUUCGAAACCAAAACCGUUUCAAAACCACAAAACCAACCGUUCGGUGAGGUUCAAUUCGAUUCGUGUUUCGGUUUCGGUUUUCGGUUCCAAGUGCCCACCCCUAAAGAGGAAGAGCUUUCGUGAAAAGAAAAGAAUGUUCUAAAAAUAAAAAAUAAAGAAAAGAAAAAAAGAAAAGGUUAUUUUGCUUGUUAAUUCGGCACUGCACCAAAUGCUUCACUAAGUUAAUUUAGGUUAUUUAGUCUAAGCCAGUUUAACUUGGUCCCUAAACUUAGAGCUGGUUUGGUAUUGCUAUACUUUGAAAAAAAAACUGCUUCUGUUGUGCUAUGAGAAUAAGCUCAUUUUUGCUGCUUCACGUUUUCAGUUUUUUUUUUAUUAACAGAAGACACCUCAACAUGUUAGUUAGACACCUUAGCAUUUGAUUAGCUCAGUGGUUAAGUUUUAUCUAAAUAUAACAACUGUGAUUUUAAAGACUAUAUAUAUUUGGAUAAUCACUUGUAUUUUGUAAGUAUUCAUGUCAGUAAAUACAACUUGCUCUCCAAGAUCUUUUCUCUCUCUAACAUUUCAUUCUCUUUCUUGUUCUUCACACUUUGUUUCCAUUGUUGAAUCUUUGAGUUCUUGAGAUCAUGAUUUCUCUCUAGUUAUCAUGGUAUCCAGAGCUUAGGUUUCAAUAAAUCUAAGAGGAGGAUCCUGGUUGGUUCAUCUGGCGCUGCGAUAGCUGUUUGGCGGUGGAUUUGGUGGUUGUUUGGCUGGAAUUUCAAUUGUUGUUGGCAAUCGAUUUCUUUGUGUUUUCGUCACAUCAGGUUUCGAUUUCUUUACUGGUUAAUGCUACCUGUGUUCGAUAUUUGUGAAAUUUUUUGAAUUAUCUGUUUGUGUUGUUGAAUGCGAUGAUUCUGUGUUGGUAAUUUUCUAAGGCACAAAGCCUCUAAGUAAUUGUUUGGGAAUUUUUCAUUCAUCUGAUCAAUUCAAAUUCGAGCACGAAACUCCUUGUUAUCUGCAAUUUGUAUGUGAUUUGUCUCCCUGCAGUGAUUUUGUUGAAGACUGGACAUUUGAGUUUGUGAUGAGUUUUGUGGAUUGUUCUUUGUUUUCUUUUGGCAUGAAACCUGUUGAUGUUAAUUGUUGGCACGAAGCCUGUUGCUACUCAUUGGUGGCACGAAGCCUGUUGAUACUCAUUGGUGGCAUAAAGCCCGAUUUAUUCAUCAAUUUCUUGAGCACGAAGCUCUCUACAAAAGUUUUUUUUUUUUUUUUUGUGUUUAGCUAUUCGAUCGAAAAUUCUUUUGAAGCAUGGCGAUGAAUUCUAUCAAGAUGGACAGUUUAUUGGGCAUGUUAACUAUGCGAUUACAAGAUGAUAAUUUUGUGAAAUGGUCCUUUCAAUUUUGAUCUAUUCUUGAAGGUUAUGACCUAUUUGAGCAUUUUGAUGGUUCCUUUGUGUGUCCGUCGAAGUUUGUGGUUACUAAGGAGACUGGGAUUACUACUGAGAUUACAAAAGCCGAUAAGGAGUGGAUUAAACAAGAUAGAGCUCUUGUGAGUCUAUUACUUGCUACACUUGGUGAUGAAGCUGUUGAGUAUGUUGUUGGUUGCAAAACUGCUCAUGAAGACUGGACGAAUCUUCAAGACCGGUAUGCUACUGUGUCUAGGGCUCAAAUUAAUCAUUUGAAGACUGAGCUUCACACUAUCAAGAAAUGGGCUAAUAGUGUAGAGAAGUAUAUGCUCAGACUUAAGGCUUUUAAAGAUCAAUUAAUUGCAGCUAGUGAAGUAACAUUUGAGAAUGAUCUAAUUAUAGUUACUUUGGCUGGCUUACCUGCUGAGUUCAACAUGAUUCGAACUAUGAUUGUAGCUUGUGAGACUCCAAUUUCCUUUAAGGAAUUUAGGGCAUAAUUGUUAGCUGCUAAAAGAACUGCUAAAGAUCUCAUUCUACUUUGACUUUUCCAAUGUCCGACAUGUAUUGCCAUGGUGAAUCUUCUAAUGCUGCUCAAAACUCUUAGAGGUCUUCAUAAUAUUUUGAUGAAGGUUAUGGUUAUGUUGGUCAAAGUCGUGCUGAAUCUUCGAGUAAUGGUUCCAGACCAAAUGGUGGGCUAAUUUCUCAAGCUCAAUUGCCUCCAUUUCAUCAAUAGGGAAAUGGUCAUUUUCAAAAUCAAAGGAAUUAUCAAAAUUAUGGCAGCAAUAAUGGAAGAUUUAAUAAUCGACCCAGAUCUAAUAGAGGUAACAAUGGCAGAUUUUCUAGGAAUUCCACCAUGCCUUCUAAUAAUUUUGGUAACAGUGGAGGAAUUGGAAUGGCAACAUUGGUUCUAAGUCUACUCUGAUUCCUAAAUGUCAAAUUUGUAAUAAGCGUGGGCAUACUGCACCAAAUUGCUUCUCUUGGUAUUUUGCAAGUUCUAGCACUGUUCCUUCAAUUCUAGAGUGUCAAAUAUGUGGGAAACGAGGGCAUACUGCUCUUAACUGCUACCACAGGAGCAAUUAUGCUUAUCAGGAUGCUCAACCACCAUAUUGUCUCACUGCUAUUACUGCACAAACAAAACCAAGUUUUGCUUCUUCAUAACCAAAUUGGGUGCUAGACACAGGUCACAUGAUAGUAGAUUUGGAUAACUUGACUCUGGUGGCCCCUUUUGAAGGAAAUGAACGAAUUACAGUGGGUAAUGGUUAAGGACUUCCGGUUGCUUGGGUUCCAUUUUCACUCCUUCGAAACUAUUAACUUUGCAAAUGGUUUUACAUGUUCCUAAAUUCGUUGCUAGUCUAUUAUUUGUUGAUAGACUGUGUAAAGAUAACCAUUGUUAUGUUAUUCUUGAUGAGUUUGGUUUUUGGGUGCAGGACAAGGCAACAAAGAAAAUCAUCGAAAGAGGAAGGAGUAGUAGUAGUGGCUUGUAUUACAUCCCUCAGCAACAUUUUUUCCAGUAUUCUCAGCUUUUGGACACUCCACCACAUGCUUUUUUAGGGAAGCUUGUGAAGUCUUCUAUUUGGCAUCAUCGACUUGUUCUAUAACCACGAGUUCAGCUAUUUCAUCUGUACUUGAUUCCACUUUGCAAAAGUUAUCUCAUACCAUAGUGUCUGUUGUUUUACCAAGGCAUUUGAAUGAGUUUGAGGAACAAUUAUCAAAUAUGGGAGUGCCAUCUUUGUCUUCUCAAAGUUCCAGUGUAUCUGCCAGUUUAGAUAGCAUCUCAGCACAAGUUACUACUCCUACUACUACUCUACUAGCAACUUCUUCUUCCUCUCAAGUGUUGCUUAUCCAUACUCAGACCCCAACUCAAGUAUCUUUUUCUUUUCCUGAGCCAUGAUAGGAGCAUAUUUAUGCAACUUAGUUAGCUUGUCUCUUGGUAUUUACUUAGUUUAAUUCUAGUUAUUUUAGUACUUUAAGCUAUUUUCGUGUGUUUGUAGGUUCAAAUAACAAAGUUACCAACAAAGUGCUAUUUGGAGCCUUUUGGAGCCUUUUUGGGCCAAGAUUGGAUAGUGCAAGCAUGGAGACAUAAGGAUGGAUGUUUUUGAAGAUUUGAAGGCUAAAAAUCAGCAUGUGUGUGUGCAAGUGUGUUGACCUACAACUCCAAACAUCCAUCAAUUACACCCAUUACAUCCACUCAUUACCAAACACUCAUCCACUACACCCAUUACAUCCACUCAUUACCAAACAUCCAUCCACUACACCCAUUACAUCCACUCAUUACCAAACACUCGUCCACUACACCCAUUACAUCUACUCAUUACCAAACAUCCAUCCACUACACCCAUUACAUCCACUCAUUACCAAACACUCACCCACUACACUUAUUACCAAACACUACACAUUACCCACUACACCCAUUACAUCCACUCAUUACCAAACACUACUCAUUACCAAACACUCGUCCACUACACCCAUUACAUCCACUCAUUACCAAACAUCCACCCACUACAACCAUUUCAUUACCAAACAUCCACCCACUACAACGAUUACAUCCACUCAUUACCAAACAUCCACCCACUACAACCAUUACAUCCACUCAUUACCAAACAUUCAUCCACCACACCCAUUACAUCCACUCAUUACCACAACACUUAUCACUACCACCUUAAUUAGACGGUGGUCCUCCCUAGCCUAUAAAUACAUCCACCCUUCACCAUAACAAUGGGGAAGAAAACGAGAGAGAACACAAUCCACCCAUCCACCCUUCACCAUAACUCACCUAUAUCCAUCCACCACCAUAAUUUACCACUCAUCCAUCAAACCACACCUUGUGCCACAAAAAAGAGAAAAAGGAGGACCCUUGGACGUGUUUGCCAUUCAAGUUGGAUUGUUGAAGCGUUUUUAGGUGUUUUCUUUCUUUUGUUUUCAAUGUGUAAAUUUGUUUAUCUUUGCUUUGUAAGUAUGAGGAACUAAACCCCCCCCUUAGCUAGGGGGAAUUCGAAACCAUGUUCAUGCUUGCAAUAUGAUUUGAUUACCUUCAGUUAUGAUUUCAUAAGUUGUGAAUUCAAUUUGUUUAACUGCUUGAUUGAUAACUUAUUCGUGUAUGUUUAUUAAGAGUGCACACUUAGUUUGCAUGCAUGAAUAUGAUGCUAGAGUAUAAGGGAGUUUCACCUAAUAGUUACAAACUUAUAUUCACAAGUAGUGGAGGUCGCUUAUAAACGAUCGCGUUAAAUAAAUUUUUGGCAGGAGUUUCAUGCUCAUCAUAGUAACGAAUGCCUCGUCAAUACUUAUAGUUUUCAUAAUGCUUAAUGAUCUUUGAUUGUAUCUUUAUUGUGCUUUUCACGUAAAAAACUUUUGAAGAAUGCUUGAAUUGUUGUAUGCGCUUUCCUAUCAAAUUCAAUAACUUAAGGAGAACUUGAAGGUUAAUUUAAGCGGACUUAAUUAACCUGGGGUGUUGAGUUUCAUGAUUGAUCGAAAGAACAACUGAAAAUUGGUUUAUGUGCAAAUAUGUCAUGUGUGGAGAAGAACCUCUUAGCUAGCCUUCCAUCCAUUCAAUUUACUCAAAUUCGUGCAGAUUUCAUUAGUUCUUUAAUUUACUUGUUUUGUUUUCAAAUUCGUCAAAACCAAAACCCCCUUUACUUUAAAGUGUUUUGUUAGUCAAAAUCUGUUUUGAUUUGUGUUUUAGGUGUCCCAAAAGUGUGUUAGAGUCCAAGUCUGCCCAGUUUGUGUUUUUAGGCAGAUUGAGCGUUUUUAGCUUGUUUUGAGUCCUUUGAGUUUGUUUUAAAUUCUUUGAGUCUAGUUUAGUGUUUUUAACUUUGUUUAUAUGUUUUUAAGUCAGUUUAGAGGUUUUAGUAAGCCUUCCUAAUCCCCGGUUUAGAACGAUCCCUACUUGCAUUUAUACUACAAUUUGACAACAAAAGGGUUUAAUUUGUGUGUUAAGUUAAAAUUCGCAUCAAGCCAUCUCAUACAUCUACAGAGUUUGAUACUCAAAUUACUCAUUCAAAUCAUGAACAUGAUGUGUCUAACACUGUUGUGCCUAGUAAUGUAGUAGUUGUUUCUUCUGAUCAUAAUAUGGUUACAAGGUUGAAAAGUAGUGCAAUCCAAAGAAGGAACUAUGCAGCUUAUCAUGCAUCUUUAUCUGAUAAUGAGUUUACCCUUCUUUCACAUACUGAUGAUGUAGUCUUUUGUGGUUUUACUUCUGUGUUGGAUACUCAUGAUUCUUCUGAGCCUUCUCAUUAUAAAAAGGCAGUUCUAUCUCAGCACUGGCGCAAUGCUAUGACAGAAGAAUUUAAUGCUCUUCACAAACAAGUUACUUGGGAGUUGGUACCUUAUCCAAAAAAUAAAAAUGUCAUAGGUAGCAAAUGGGUGUAUAAAAUCAAGAAAGAUCAAGAUGGCAAGAUAUUGAGGUACAAGGCUCGACUUGUUGCACAAGGAUAUAGUCAAUAACAAGGCUUGGAUUAUGAAGAAACGUUUAGCCCGGUUGUUCGACAUACUACAGUUAGGCUUGUUUUAUCUCUUGCUACUAUGCAUAAGUGGGACUUAAGGCAAUUAGACGUGAAAUAUGCAUUUUUACAUGGUGAAUUACAAGAAGAGGUGUUUAUGAAACUAACUCAAGGGUUUCAAGAUCCUUUAUAUCCUAACCAUGUUUGCAAACUUCUCAAAUCUUUGUAUGGUUUAAAACAGGCACCACGAGCCUGGAAUGCAAAGUUUACCAGUUAUCUUCCUACUUUGAAGUUUCAGUCUUCUCACUCUGAUCUGAGCUUGUUUGUGAAAUUCUGUGAUGGUGAUGUAGUAAUUCUUCUUUUAUAUGUCGACGACAUUAUUAUUACAGCAAGCAAUUGAUGAUUUGGCCUCUGUAUUUGACAUGAAGGACAUGGGCAAACUCACUUAUUUUCUGGGACUUCAAGUUACCUACAGAGAAAAUGGGGAUAUUUUUCUUAGGCAGUCAAAGUAUGUCAUUGAUCUUCUUAAUAAGGCAGGUAUGGUGCAUUGUAGGCCUUGCUCCACUCCUAGUAAACCUCAUACACAGUUAUUGAAGGAUGAAGGAGAAUCAUUGUCUGAUCCCACAGUUUAUAGAAGUUUGGUUUGUGCAUUGCAAUAUUUGACCUUUACUAGGCUAGAUAUUGCAUAUGCAGUCAAUUAUGCUUGUCAAUUCAUGAAUAACCCAAUAGAAGAUCAUUUCUGUUUGGUGAAGCUGUGCAUACUUAGGUAUUUGAAGGGUACUUUGACCUGUGGCAUUACUUAUUCAGCUACUGGAAAAUUGGAGUUGCUUGCCUAUAGUAAUGCUGACGCAGCUGAUAUCAAUACUAGACGAUCAACAACUAGAUAUGUUGUUUUCCUAGGAUCUAAUCUCAUUUCUUGGCAGUCAAAGAAGCAAGGCAAUGUGUCUAGGAGUUCAACAGAGGCUGAAUAUAAAGCAUUGGUUAAUGCAACAGCUGACAUUGCUUGGAUUCGACUGGUUCUUAAUGAUCUUCAUAUGUUUCUUCCUUGUGCUCCUGUGUUGCAUUGUGAUAUUCUGUCUACAUUAACUUUGUGUUCUAAUCCAGUCUUUCACACUCGGAUUAAACACUUAGACACUGAUUUUCAUUUUCUUCGUGAAAGAGUACAAAAAGGGGAUAUGGAGGUUCAGUACAUUCUUAUAGAUGCUCAGAUUGCAGAUGUCUUAACAAAAGGAUUACACAAUCCUUUGUUUGUUCGUCAUUGUUCCAAUCUCAGACUGGGUUAUCCCAGCUGAGAUUGAGGGGGAGUAUUAACAAAAGACACUUCAACAUUUGAUUAACUUAGUGGUUAAGUUUUAUCUAAAUACUAUGAUUUUAAAGUCUUUAAAUAUAGUCUUUAAAAUCACAGCUGUUAUCCAAAUAUAUAUAGUCUUUAAAAUCAUAGUUGUUAUAUUUAGAAUCAUGUUUAGCCUCCCUCUCGGUUGGAGAUGUUUUUUGUCACAUGGCUAUGUUUGGCCUAUGGUCAUUUGGCCCCUUCGGUUGGAGAUUGUAUGAAAUAUGGUAUGGCACUGUUCAUUAAAAUAUAAUUUCUUAGAGGGCUAUAGUGUUAAAAAGAGUCAUCUGGCCUUCUUUCGGUUGAAGAUGGCCUCAGUCUUUCUACUUGGGCAUUUUCUAUUAUAUGGAAUUAAUUUGAAAAAAAAAAAAACAUAAAUGCAUCCUUCGUGUUUCAAAUUGAAAACAAUUCACAAAAACCAGUUUUUUUCCCCACUAAGCAAGCAGUUUUUUUUUUUUUUUUUUGUUAUUUAUCUUACUUUUAUAGUGUGUGUGUAUAUAUAUAUAUAUAUAUCCAAAUAGAUACAUAAAAGAAAUUUGGGGCUAGUAAAUCAGAGGUCCUAGGCAGUCGCCUUACUCAGCUUCCCUCAAGGCUAGCCCUAUGUCACUAUAAGAGCAUUUCCAACUGUUGCUUAUAAGCAAGGGCAAAGGCAAUGCAAUUGCCCAAAACACCUCCAACAGGACAAUAAAAGAAAUAAAGGCAAGUGGUGGACCAAGCCAUGCUAGCCCAAAUGCCCAUGUAAGUUAAGCAUUGCCUUCCUCAACAGGCAUGGCUGACUCAGCCACGGUCUUUACGUUUUUUCCAAUUUGUAACACAUGUCCAAAAUCAGGGUGUGAGCCAACAAAACCUGCAAUAGUAGGCCUUGUUGCAACACUAAUUGAAGAGCCUAACGGCUCUAUGACGUGGCACGAUGAGAGCCGUUGGAUUUCCAACAACCUGAUGAUCUGGACUAUUGGAUUUUCAAUGGUAAAGAAUUUAAAAAGUUAUCGAUGCACCAUGUUGCACGUUCUAGUGCGUCAGAUUCAACAAUAAAAAAAAUCAAACGGUCAGGAGUAAUUUGAUUGUUAAAAAUGGAAGGAAAAAAAGAAGAAGAUGGCGAUGCAACAAAUACGGAAGAAGAUUCAUACACAAUUUGUCGAGCUGAUUCAACGCAUAUCCAGGUCUGAGCUAUCUCUAUUGAGUAUAUGCAAACAUCUAAGUAAGUCAACAUAGAGAGUUAAAAUCUGGGCAAGAAGCCCUCACAAAAGCAUAAUCUAUUUAUCAAAAUGGCAAUAAUAUAGCCAAUAAGGUAAUAACAUUUUAUUAUUAAUAAAUUUCAAAUGUGAUUAACAUGUUAUUAUUUGGACCAUCAGGUAAUUAAAAGUAAUCAUUGAUUAUGUAAUUUAUAAUGUUGUUUCAUAAUUCUUUGCUUUGCAUUUGAAAUUAAAUUAUUAGAGUUAAACAUGGAGUUUUACUUUCAAAGAACAAACUUACAAAGUGCACACUUAAACACUUACAAGGCAUAUAUAAAUAAAUAAUAUAUAUUUGUGAAUAAUAAUCGCCCUUAUCUGCGACAACUCGUCCUUAAUUUUAAGUUUUAUAAAUUUUAAAAUAGUGAUUUUAUGAAAAUGCCCUUAGAGGCAAGGAUGUUUGACUUUCGUUGACCAUUCGAAGUCACAAUUAAUGUUUCCGAAUAGAUUUUGAAGCUACGAACGCAUAGGCAAAAGCCGUUUGCGAGUUCGGAUUAUAACAGUAUAGUUACGGACAUUUGAAGUCGUUUCAUUAAACAAUAGAUUUAAAGGAAUAUAAACUCCCACCUUGUGGGAAAGAGGCCAUUCAGGCUAAAGGGAAGGAACCAAUCAGUUAAAUGGUGGAGGACCAAUCAGAAUUUAGGGGGGAGUGAGCAACCAAUCAAAGAGAAGGAGGAAAAAAAAGAAAAGAAAUGAAGCUUUCCUUCUCGACGACUUGUGCACCUGCACAGGGCUCAACCAAUUCCGCCAACUUUCGCCAUUUUCCCCAUCAAACCGCCAUCAUCCAACACCUGCAAUCCUUUCCACAACCUCCCCUCUACCAUCUCCACCCAAAUUCGAAGGUUUUUAAGUCCAAAACCGUGUAGAACCUCACCGGAGCACCGGAGGUGCUUGACGGUGAUUCCUCCGAUCCAGUGAGUUUCACCACCCACCACUACCCUUAAUCAACUCCCCUUAGACCCAGGAAUAAGAUCCAACCAGUGAUAGGGGCGUUGGAACACCGGCAAAGUCGAAUCGAUGAACACCUAUUAUAGGGUUUCAGACGGGUUCGUGGCGAUUUGAGGUUUUUUCGGCCAAAUUGGACUUGGCCACAUAUAUAAAACUUGCUCUACUCAUUGAGAUCUUCAUUUAAUUGAAAUUUGAGAAUUUUUAGAAAUAGUUUAUUUUUCCGGCGAGUUGGGACGGUCGACUGUCGUUUGCAGCGGCAUGUGGGCCGAGGCACCCCCUAACCUUCCUAAGCUAAGUUUGAUACCCCAAUUCCAUAUGUGAAGUCAGAUUGAUGAAAUCUCAUCGUUUGAACAUAGUUUUGAUAGAGACCGCUACUUGAUCCUUGUAUGAAUUGACGAACCGACCGUUGGAUCAUCACCAAAAUUUAAUAUAUUAUAGUAUGUAAUAUUUUAGGAUAUUAGAAACUUACGGAUUGGGAAUCCAACUUAUGGAUCUUCCUAAAAUGGAUUUGUAAGUUCGUAAAAUAAAACGUUGACCGCCACUUGAAUUUGCAAUUGGUGGAGAUCCAACCAUUGGAUCGUAAUGAAACUUUAGUAUGAUGUUCUAGAAGCAUAAUGUGGAUCUUUUGAAGUUACGGAUCAAAAAUCUAAGUUGCGGAUCUUCCGGAUUGAGUUACGUAGGAUUAUGGACCCUACCGCCAACCUUUGACCGAUGAUUGAAUUUUGGUCAAUGGGUUUCAAAUCAUUCUAGAACGUCCUUAGGGGAUGUGUUUUAUGUAAGUUACGUGUUCUAUCGAUAAGAAUUCUAAGACGUUAUUUGAUAUUUAUUCUAGGCGACGAUUGUUCGUGAUGCCUCGAUAUUCGUGCUAGGGAGUUGUAGCCCGGACCUCAGGUGAGUGGGUCUUUUUCUUUUUAUAGUGUAUAGAUAGAUAUAUAUAUAUAUACACACACACACACACACACAUAUAUAUAUAUAUGGUUGAUAGUUUCCACAAAUGAUUUUGAAUUGAUUUAUGCAUAUCAUGCUAUGAUUAAAUAUUGUUAUUAAAAACUUUGCAUUGUUAUGAAAUUGUGAAAUGCCAAACGAUCCUACGGGAUGCGCAGGUUUGAUCAGGUGAGUUUAAUUUGUGAUUGGAAUUGUUGCACCAUAUUGGCAUGCAUAAAUUCAUUUAGUGCUCAUCAUUGUUGCACCCCAGUGUUAGUCAUCCUGUCCUGGGCCAGGGCACAGCCUUCACGUGUAUGUUCACCUCCCGCAUCGCACACUUACCUUGGAUCCAAGUAGGUGCUAGCCUAUCGUAUAGACUCGAUUAGGCAGUUUGAUGCGAAAAUUAACUUAACACACAAAUUAAACCCUCUUGUUGUCAAAUUGUAGUAAUAAUGCAAGUAUGGAUCGUUCUAAACCGAGGAUUAUGAGGGCUUGCUAAAACCUCUAAACUAACUCAAAAACAUAAAAACAAAGUUAAAAACAUUUGAAUAGACUUAAAGAACUCAAAACAGGUUCACAAGACUCAAAAUAAUUUAAAGACACUCGAAACUGCCUAAAAACACAAACUAGGCAGUUUCUGACUCUAACACAACUUUGGACGAAAUUUGGGUUUUGACUUGACUCAGAACACUCUAAAACACAAACAAAACAUAUUUUAAACACUUUGAAACAAGAAAGUAAAAGGGGGAUUUAGUUUUGAUGAAUUUGAAACAAAUAAACAAGUUAUAAAACUAGGCAGAUUGUAAAACGAAUUUAAGAAAUAAGAUAAUGGAUGGAUUAGUUAGAGGUCCGUUCUUCACACAUGACACACUUGUAUAUGAAUUGAUUUCCAAUUGCUUUUCAAUAAACUAUGAUGCUCAACACCCCAGAUUAAUUAGAUACGCUUAAAUUAAUCCUCAGAUUUUCCUAAUUUCAUUGAAUUGGAUGAUUGCAUACAACAACCCAAAGCAUUCCCCACAAGUUCCCUACAUGAAUUGCAUAAUAGAGAUACAAGCAAGAAUCAUUAAGUUCUAUGAAAAUCAUAAGCAUUGACGAAACACUUGUAACUAUGAAUUGCAUGAAACUUAUGCCAAGAAUUCAAUUAACGCGAUUGUGAUAAACAACCUUCACUACUCAUGAAUAUAAACUUGUAACGAUUAGGUGAAACUCAUUUAUAUUCUAGCAUCUAAUUCAUGCAUGAAAACUAAGUAUGCAUGAAAACUAAGUAUGCAUCCUUAAAUAACAUACAAGAAUCAGUUAUGAAUAAAAUAGAUAAUUGAAUUGCAAUCACAACUUAUCAAAUCACAAUUGGAAGAAAUCAAUUUAAAUCUCAAGCAUGUUCAUGGCUUCAAACUUCCCCCUAACUAAAUAGUGGUUUAGCCACUCAUAAUUGCAACAAAAUUAGAAAAUAACAAAGUAGACAUUGAAAGCAAGAACGAAGUACACCUAAAACGCUCCAAAGUUCCAAGCUUGAAACGCCAAGGGCCUUUGUUUUCACCACCUUGUUGUAGCAUAAGUGUCUAGGAUGUGUAUGGAUAUAUGGAUAGAAUGGAUUUGCAUGACAUAGAAAAUGGAAAUGUAUGGAGAUGUGUUUGAAUGUAUGGAUGAAAUGGAAUGGAGCUCAAGGCAAGGGACUUGUGUUUGUGAAUGAAGCUCUUUUGAUGGAUCAAGAUUGUCGUUCUUUGGAAGGGGGGUGGUGGAUGUAUUUAUAGGCUAGGGAGAGGACCACUCCAUUUCCUUUGCAUGUGCAGAUUGCAUGGGUGUGUGCUGUCCAUGUUUCUCCUUUCCUUUUCCACCCAUUUUCUGAACCUUUCAGUGUUACAAUGCCCAUAACCUCUUCUAGAAAAAUGAUAUUAACAAUCCGUAAAUUGUUCUAGAAAAUAGACAUCCGUAGCUUUCCAGGCAUAUAAGGCUCAUUCUCUCAUUCAUUAUACGAUGUUCGUAACAUGCUUUCAAAGUCAGCUAAUCUGCACAGGCAGUUUUGACGAAUUUGUUGGCUGUCCAUGUUUCUCCUUUCCUUUGCAUGUGGUUGUGUCUUCUCUUUCUAGCUGUGCAUUUCCACUUGAUCCAAAGCCAAAUGAGUGCAAUCAUAACCCCAUUUGCUGCUGAGUGUUGAUGACAAAGCAAAACACAAAACAAGUGCCUUUACUUUCUCAUUUUAUUAGCCAAAUCCGCUUAGCCCUUUUCUAAACCUUUAAGUGUUACAAUGCCCAUAACUUCUUCUAGAAAAAUGAUAUUAACAAUCCGUAAAUUUCUCCAGAAAAUAGACAUCCGUAGCUUUCCAGCCAUAUAAGGAUCAUUUUCUCAUUCAUUAUGAGAUGUUCGUAACAUGCUUCCAAAGUCAGCUAAUCUGCACAGGCAGUUUUGACGAAUUUGUUGGUUGUCCAUGUUUCUUCUUUCCUUUUGCACACACAUGCUUCAUCAUUUCAGCCAAAUCAACACAUGUUCUCCAUCACAUGGCAGCUAUGAUGUUUGUUAGUUGUAGGUCACACACUUGCACACACAUAUGUUGAAUUCUAAUCUUCCCAAAACGUCCAUCCUCAUGUCUCCAAGUGCAUGCAAUCCAUUUCAGCCCAAAAUUGCUCCAAAAUGCACCAAAAUGCACUUUUCUUGCCAACUUUGUUAUUAGGACCUAACAACAUACGAAAAUGGCUUAAAACACUCUUAUAAGCAAUAACUAACUAAGUAAGUGCAAGAAAACAUGUUAACUAAGUCGCAUAAAUAUGCUCCUAUCACAGUUCCGACUCAUAGAUGACCCACGAUUUAUCGCUAGCCAUCACGUGAUCAUAGGACUAAAGCGUAUAUAUUUACACCCAGCUUGUCGUACAGGUCACACUAGGUGACUCCGACUCGUGUGCUAGCAUAGACUGAUGAGCAAUAGGUCCAUUCAUACAUGUCACAUUAGGUGACUCCAACUGGCACGCUAGUUGAUUAUUCACACCUGACUUACAUUUAUUUUUAUUGAGAUAUUGUGACAUGGCAUGCUUUUGUUGUCACUGCUUUUAUGCAUUGGUUCUUUAUGUUUACGUAGUGUUAUUUUCUGGAAACUAUACAUGUUUUACGGCAAGGGGUUAUAAUGUUUUCAUUGAAACUUUAUUUUUAGGCCCACUCAUCCUUGUUUUUCAUCCCUCCAGGUUUUAGCAGCAGAACUUUGUAUCGACGAGGAUUCUUGGCAAUUCUCAAUAUAGGUGGCUACCUUUGAGGGUAUAAUCAUUAUCCUAUCUUACUGUAUUUCACUUAUGCUCUGACAUCACGUGUGAAAUGGGUUCAUUCUCGCUCAUCGCGCACUCUUGUAUUUAGGCACUUUUAGGUUUAAAUUUAUUCACAUUUUCCAUCACACUACACUUUAUAACUUCGUCACCUUCCAGGUGUCGGCCAGCACAACAUGAUUUGGAGUCCAAGUAGACAUUCCGGAUCGAGGUGUGUCAUUAUCCUUGUUGAUCUAGUGGAGUUACACAAUGACAAUUACUUUCCAAAAGGGCAAUUGCCUUACUCCAACGAGUGUAACUGCUCUAAAGUAUCUCAUUUAGCAUAAAGAAUUAUGAGUAAAUGGGCUUAAACUUUGGUGCUCUCAAGUAGUCCAAAGUCUCAAUUAAAGAGCUUUUCAUAGGGUUUAUAGAGAUUGGCAACCUUCCACAAAUCAACUCCUCUUAAAUCGUAUGUAUUGGUUCCAUAUGAACUUGGUUGGUGUAAGGUUUAAACAAACGUUUUCGAAUGAUUCAUGUCUAUGUAGCCAUUUGCAAUUCACCUCAAUCAUUUAAUCAUUUCAAAUUCCUCUAUUUAAUAUUGCACAAUGCAUUUCUAACUAAAGUAGCCUAAAUUCAUUGGUAUUUGAUAACCUUCAUUCAAAUACAAUAAUAAAUCUAGUAUUGUCUCUAGCAUUGGUUUUAGCCUUCGGGUCUUUCACGUGAGAAGCAGUUAUAUGAGACGGGUUCAUCAUUACAUGAUUUUUUUUUAUCUAAUAAUGUGUUGUUAUGUAAAAGUUUUUCUUUACAUGGCAACAUAUUAUUAUAUUGAGACAUCAUGUCAUGUAACAGUAAACUCAUUUCAUAUAAAUUGCUCAUUUUUUUUACUCCAUUAUCCUUUUUCGCUUGGGCACCAUAAAGAAGUCAUCCAAUGAUCGAUGAUCAUAAAAAUUAAUAAAAAGAUAAUCUUUAGAAUUAAAGUGGAAUUUGAAAUGGAAUCAAAUUUGAAUUGAGAUCCAAACCUUCGUAUUAAACUAGAACAAGUUCACUAAAUAAAGGUGAGGCCAACCACCAACCAAUAUUUAUACAAAAAUAAUCGCAUUCCACUCCGACCCUACCGAAUUCUUCAGGCCAUUAACCACCAUUGAAUAAACAGUACAGAAAAUCAUAAAGUAAUUAUGCUCUUAAACCGAAAAGAAAUCGAGAGUAAUUAAUAAUUAGUGCCAAGAUAUCAUUAAUAUUAUUUUUAAGGAUUCGGACGCGUAUAGUGAUAUAUUCUAUCAUUACGUCUCUCAGAUUCCGCAUCGAUUGGUGCGAGAUAUUCUAUCGUCAAUGUUUCUCGGACACUUUCUUGUUAAACCCAUUUACUACAACUAGGGAUUAAAUUUUUUGCCAAAUUACCAACCAUAUUAUACUAAAGUUCUGUAAAAAAAUUUGUAUCAUUGGUAAUGAUACGAUAUUUGUAUCGUACCAUACAUUUUUGGAAGAUAAUAGUAUUCAAAAUCAUUACCAAUUAUAUACCAUACUGUAACACUACUAUUAAUAUUAUAUAAUUUAUUUAUUCAUUUAUAUAUAUUUACGUAUUAUUAUAAUUAUAUAUGCACUUUAUAUUUUUUUUCCUAGUCAUUUAUCCAAUCAUCUCACAUUCUAACCUCUACUUUCCCAAUAAAAAAACAUAAGCCUUCUUACGCUGCGACUCUUCAUCUUUUCACUCAUCUAGCCACCGACUUCAUCUAUGUUGCUCUAGUUUCGGCGACUGUCUCUCCGGAGUCCACCUCAUCUUCUCCUUUAUCAAAUUGGGAUGUCUUUCUCCCUGGCUUUGUCUAUCAAGUUAAUUUUUGUUUAAUUUUAAAGAAUGUAAAGAUGAAAUUUAAGAAUCUUUGUACUAUUUUUUUAGGGAUAUUGGGUUCUUUGAGCAAUUCUUCCAUCUGUUUACUUCUUUGUUUCUUUAAUGAAUCUUUAUAAAAUUCUCAUAAUUAAAUAAAAAAGUUUUAGAAACCCAAAAGGAGUGACCCAAACACGUUUGGGCCUUGAAUUGGGUUGGAAAAAAAAUCAAAUUUUGGCCCAAAAGAAUGACCCAAAACAAAGUGGUAAUUACCAUUACCAUAUCAUGUCAACCGAACUAUUUGGCAUGCCGAAAUUUGGUAUAUCGAAAGUUUGGCACAGUAAUGAUAAUAGAUUUUAUCAUACCAAAAGUUUGGUACGGUAAUUGAUACAUGGGUUUUGGUACGAUAAUUGUACCAAUACCACCCCUAACUACAACUAUCCAAUCAAAGACUAAUCCCGUUUCAUGAGAGAAUUAUGACUAAUAUCAAUUUCACGAGAAAUUUUUCAAGGUGACAGGAACCCACAUAACCAUGGACACUUUAUGUAUCCAUUUAAUCGGAGGAUGUCACAUGCCUAACCGAAGAAUCUACCUAAUUUAUUUUUAAUGAAAUUACGCUGUCUGUUCUAUUAAUAAAUCCACAAGGUUUAUCUUUUAAAAUGUUAAUUAAAUUAGAACUAAAACAGAAAAAUAAAAAUAAAAAUCUCCAAUCCAAAUAACCCCGUCCCCGGCGAGACACACCACCCCCGAUCCCACCACCACCACCUCUGAUCCCGUUCAAAUCUGGUACCGCCACCACCUCCCUCUCUUGCUCUUCCUCAUAGACGAACAAUAACAGGCACAGUGGCAGACGUCGACGCUAUUCUACCCCUCCCCGAACCCAUGCGGACCAUCUUCCUCAUUGUCAUCUUCAUCAGCAUGAUUUUCAAGUUUUUCUUUGACGUGCUAUCUUUGCUUCUUGUUGGGUUUUUUUGUAAGAUGUAAUCUGAAAAUCAACAAGUUACUAGGAUUACAGAUAUAACAAAUAUAACUACAAUAAAUCAAUCAAACAAUUAAAGGGAAAUAAACUUAUCUUCCAAAGCAGAGGAAGAAGACGCUAUGACUGCUAGGGUUUCAUAGGUUGUCUUCUACUUCCAGUACUUCAAAAUGUCUCUCUACCGUGAAUAGGGUUUGGCAUGAUUGAGAGUACAAGCAUAUGGAAGCAGGAACUUAACUGUGGUAUUUAUAUCAUUAGGGUUUUCAUCACAUCCGACCUAUCAUUGGCUAUGAAGAUCUACCCUAUCUCUCUAGUAUUUAAGUCCCACCAUGAUACGAUACCUUUGUAAUAAAUCUAUCAGAUUUCCUCUAGGUUAAUUGCAAGGGACAAGACUCCAUAAUCCUUAUUAGGUUAGGACUAUCGGAUCACUUUGGUUGCUAACCACUCGAUAGACAAUUGGCUUACAACAAAAAGAUCCAAUACAACAUUCAUUGUCAUUCACAAUCUUAUAUUCUCCCACUUGAAUGUCAAUAAUUCAUCCUAACAAAAUAAGAACUCAUUGUGAUCACUGAGUCUUCAUAAGUAUGCAAUAACCUUUCCUAGCAACCUGUCACUUUGAAUCGAAUGCCGAACCAAAGAAAAACAAAGAACAACUUGGUCUGUUCCUUGCACUCCAAGAUCACAUACACAUUCAACUUAAAGCACUUUGUUGCUAACAAAGUCAUGGUGUCAAGAGCUAAUAGUCAAAACAUUAGCUCACAAUAGUCAAACUGAAAAUAUGAAAAUAUAUUUCAGUACAAAAGUAGUUCACAAAAGAACUCAACAACGUUGGUAACAACAUCCAACUUCUCUGUCAAUUUAGAAUAUGAUAAGAGAACAAGUAAAAUAUGACAUACUAUUUACAAAAUCAGAACCUCUUAUUAAAACUUAUGAACAAAACUUAAACAAAAUUUACUCUUAAAAUAUCAGCCACUAACACUUCAAAAUUUUAACACAAAAGGUAAUCUCUUACUCCCACUGAUUAGUAGAGAUAAACAAAUUAUUACUCCCACUGAUUAAGAGAGUAAAAAAAACUUUAUAAAUGCCUAUAAAAUGAAACUGACACCUUUCAAAUACUCCCAUUAGCAAAACAUUAGUCAUGGGAUCUAAAACAUAAAAUUUGUGAGCUCAACAUCUUUAUUUUAGAUAUUUGUAGGGAAGUGAUUCUCGUGACUGAAAAACUAUACAAAAUUAUUUGGUCAGUUUUGUUCAUCUAACAAUUGACAGAAAUAGAAAACUUUAACUGAAUGUUUUCUAAUGCAUCAAAAGCAUAUAAUUCUAGAAUCAUCUUUGGAUAGAAACUAAUUAUAUUAGGUUUGUAUAGCUAAAACAUAAAAUACAAGGGCAAAUGUAUAUAGCUUCAACACUUUUGAGCAGAUGAAGUAUAUGCAAUCUUGUCAAUUUCAUGUUUCACCAUACAUUGAUUUAUAGUUGUACUGAAAAAGAAAACACUUUUGAGCAGAUUAAUUAUUCAUCAAUAACAUAUAAAUCACAAGUCCAAUUUCUUGAACAACAUACAAGAAUUAAUAAGCAAAACACUUUUGAGCAGAAUAUACUCAUUAACCCUUCUUGAAUUUCCUACAAGAUUAGUUGCAUAUAUAACAAAUAAAAUAUAAAUAAGUAUGAUAAUGUACGUUUUAUCUACCAAAACUAUGACCAUUAAAAGCAUGCAAAAUUGAUGAGUGUGAAGCCCAUAAUACAUUAUUUCUCCCACUUGGGCAAACACUCAAAAUUGCAAGAUUAAACACUAGAGAAAGUGAUUUUCAUUUAACAAAAUAUAUGCAAGUUGAAUCAAUCAAGAUCAAAUACAUAAUUUUUUUUUUUAAAGUAGGUUAGAAUUAAAAAGUUCCAUAAAUAAAAACUUAUGCAAUGACUACAAAUUUUAUUUUAUUUUAGUGUAUGAGAGAAGACUCACAUAUGUGUUAAAGAUUAGGUCAUCAAUUAAAAUGAAACCUAAUAAGAGAAUCUGUUGAUGCACAAAUAUCAGCGAGGACUUUGGUACAACAGAAAGUGUCAGGUUGUGACCUUCGCUUGGUUGCUUCGAUCACUUUUGAAGAUAAGUACGUAAAUGAAUAGGGACAGGGAAGCAAACACAAGAUGUACGUGGUUCACCCAGAUCGGCUACGUCCACGGAGUAGAGGAGUUCUCAUCUACGAUGCAUGGACACGGGGAAAACUCAACGUAUCCCGUAUCUGACACGCAGGGAUACGGAUACGUACAAAAUACGUAUGGAUACGCGCCCGAUACGUAUCGGAACGAAGGUAUACGUUCUUUAUUACCAAGAUACGCGUAUCAUAUUGUCGAGAUACGCGUAUCAUAUUUUUCGGAUACGUUUCAAGCAAAAUCAGAGGAUAAUCAGAAAAAAAAUCCAAUAGAUCCGCACAGAAUCGUGAUUGAUUCGAAUUAGAUAACUUAAACGAUUGUUUAACUAAAAACCAAAACGAUUUCGAACCUCAGAAAUCAGACUCAUCUGCAAUUGCUCCGUCCGUCCGUCGUCUCUAUCGUCUCCGUCUGCAACUGCUCCAUCGUCUCCAUCGUCUCCGUCUGCAACUCCUGGUGAGAGCCUUCGACUUUGUUUUCACUUUGUUAAUUUUGAAGCUCAAUCUGAUUGCAGAACCCCUCUGAAAUUGAAAGAAACAUGCUGCUCUGUUUUUAUUCGAAGCUAAAAGCCCCAUUUCUGCUUUAAGCCAUUGACUAAUUCAAUGUAUCUGUUAUGCAAAAUUGAAAAAGCCAAAACCCAAUUUUGCUUUCUGUAUAAUAUAUUAUUUUGAUCUUCGAAGAUCAAUCAAUGGGGUCAGAUGGUGUGCAAUCAGUAAUCACUUAUCUGUUAUACAAAAUAAUAUUAUAUACAAAAUACUCGUGCCCACUUUUGCUUUCUGUAUAUAAUAUUAUUUUGUAUUUUGUAUAUUAUAAAUAAUAUACUAUUGUGCUUUCAUGAUAUUUAGAUUAUAAUAUUUUAUGGAUUUCAUGAUGUAUUUUUUAAUCUCUUAAGUUAAUAUAAAUUUCUCGUGUAAUAGUCUCUGUCUAUACAGUGGAUUGACUCUUAUUGUUUAUAUAUUUGAUUCUUACAAUUUACAUGUUGAUAAUUUAGGAAAAUGAAUCAUCCUGAUAAUCAUGCGAAUGCUAAUGUCAACCUAGUUGAGAAUGUUGAAAAUGAUCAUGGUACACUAUGGAAGUAUGUCAAAAAGCUCGAAAGAGUGGAAAAUGGAAGAGGAGGUAGUGUGUUUCAAUGCAACUAUUGUCAAAAGAUUUUCAGAGGAUCUUACUCUAGGGUCAAGUUUCAUUUGUUAAAAGUGUCUGGAAAUGGGAUCGUCUCUUGCAAUAAGGUUACUGAUGAAGCUCUUGCAGAAAUGAAAAAGCUAGCUCAAGAAUGAGGGACUCUUUCUUUUUAUUUUUUAAGUCGUUUGGAUGUUCUUUUUAGUUUUUCAAGUUUGAAGACUAAUUUGUUUAGUGGAUUAUCUUUUAAAUGUUUGAAGUUUAUCGAAAUAAAUUUGAACUUGAAUAGUAUAUUUGAAUGCUUAUUUUAUAAUAUUUAGAUAUAUUUAUUUAUUUAUAUUAUUUUUAAUUGCCGUAUCCUUGCCGUAUCGUGUCUUCAUUUUUAGAAAUUUGACGUAUCCCCGUGUCGUGUCGUAUCGUAUCUCCGUAUCCGUGUCCGUGUCCAUGCAUCAUAGGUUCUCAUUAAUUGUGAAGGGUUUACACAAAUACAUAGGUUCAAGCUCUCAUUUUGUGAGUUCUAGUGAAUAGUUUAGUACAAAAUGACAUUAGAGAUUAUUGUGGGAGAAUGAUCCCUAUUUAUAGAAGAGAGUUUCUAGUUUUGUUCUAACAUUGACACGUGUUGUGUUGUGAUUGGCUUCUGAUGUUGACACAUGUCGAGCUGUGAUUGGCUUCUGAUGUCGACACGUGUCGCAUUGUGAUUGGCCUCCUGGUUGAAGGGAAGCUCUUCUGGUCCUUGACGGUAUAACGUUGACCGGUGCUCAGUAGUUUCGGGAUUGGUCAAGUAUGGUACAAACAAAAUCCAAACUCAAAAUUUAUGUUUUAAUUCUAAAACAAAGUCGAGUAAAAUAAACACUUAGAUAUCUCAACAACAACAAUUUUUUUUUUUUAAUAAUUUUAAUCCAAUUUAGAACUCACAGAAAAUUAAGGCAAAAGAUUGGCAAAUUUACCUACUCAUUCUUGAUUCUGCGAGAUUCAUCAUGGAAUUAGUCGAGUUGUGGAGGAUCGAACCAACUCCAAAUUGCAUGAUUGUUACACCUUCGGGCAGAAACUAAUCAUGCAAAGAAAAUACCUGCAUAGCUAGCCAAAACAUAAAAUACACAAAAUACAUAUAGCUUCAACAGCUUUGGCCAGAUGAAAAUAUGUUAGAAGUACUUUAUGAUAUAAUACUAUUUUAUAAUUGGUGAGUGAUUUCCUGAAAUUCCCAUUGGGACAAAAGUAUUCACCAUAUAAAUUAGAAUUCUGAUUUUUCAAAAUAAUCCUUUAGAACAGUAUUAAAUAACCGUUUUGUUGGAUAUUCAAUGAUUCUCAAAAGAUUCAAUCAGACACAAAAGUAUGUCAUUAUUGACAUUGAACAAUAGAGUUCUCGAAAGAGGAAACAUGGUUAUUCAGGUAUUCGAUAGAGACCAAAAUGAUCAAUUAGUAAACUAAUGCCACUUUCCAAUUUUCUCUCAAAAGACAAUCAUCAUAAUCAGAAUUGAUGACCAAACAAAACAUUGGUUUAAGCAAAACAAACCAAUACAUCUUUAAAUCAAAAUUUAAUCAGUGUUGUCUAUAUAAAAUUCAUUAGUAUUGAGAAUUUGCAUAUAAUAAGGACAUAUCGGAACCAUAACCUUGUAUAAUAAUCGGUACCAAUAGAUGUGCACAAAUUAGUGAAACAAUAUCACAUAACAAAACUAGUUUUGAAGUACCAAAAUUCAGCAGUACUACUUUAGUUUGCAAAUUCACUAAAAACUCAAUUCUCUUUAGAUUGUCCUGAAAAUUUUCAAGUAUGAACUAGACAUAUAUGACUACUAUUUCGAAAAAUUUCAUGAUUUUUAAAAUCUUAUAAGUGAGCCAAAAAUGAAUUCGAAAAGAGAGGUGCUACAGCAUUAAUAUGUGUAUUUGAUAUAUCAAAAUCUCCUUUUUAAGAUAAGAAAACAAUUUAAAAAUGACACCAAAAUGGCCACGGCAUUAAUAUGUGUAUUUGAGAAAUUUCCCAAAAGCACUUGAGUCUCAACUUUGCAAUUUUAUGUUUGAAGAUAAAAGUCACAAAGGACAAACGUAGCAAACAUAAAUUGUAAUAUUAUAUAUAUUAUAUUAAACGAAGGAUAAAUUAGACUUAUUAAUCCAACAACUCAUAUUUGAUUUUAGAAAAGAAAGUCUCAACAUUAAUUGGUCCCAACCAUCAGUCAUAGAAGCAUAAGAGAAAAUCAAAAGUUACCAAAUUCUUAUUCCUGAAGAGGGAUGCUUCCAGGCAUAACGAUAGAUGGAAGCGUAAAUCAACUUAAUUAAUAUGUAUGGGAAAGUUAGUUUGCAAAGCAGUUGGACUUUAUAUUCAAAUUAGUUUAACUAAUCAACUAACACACCAAAGUGGCCAUACCAUUAUUCUUGUAAACCAUUACUCAAAAAUAUGCAGCAAACUGGAAUAAAUGAAAUUAAAUGCAAUUGAGGAAAAUCCUCAAAGCCUCAUUCUAGGCAUUAGGAAUGAAGGCCGAGAAAACAUAAAAUGUGAACAUGAUAUAAGAUCACAAUGGCUCACUCAAGUUAUCUCCUAAUGGCAAGUGAUUCACAUUGAAAAAUCUUCGAAAACAACCAAAAUUUUAAACCUGAUCAUUGACACGGUGCGCUAGGAGAAAGAAGCAUGCAAAAUAAUUAUUAACUUAAAAUGGGAUUCCAAAACAAGGAACCCUAACCACUGCCCAGGAGCAACACAAAUGCCAACCAAGCGGAUCAAAACCAAUCUUGAUAUUAAUCAUGUUAAAAAAAAAUAACAAUAGUUAAAUUAUUUAUAUGCAUAUGUGCCAAGCCUUCGAACUUUAAAUCCAAUGCAAAAUUAUAUAUAUAUAUAUAUAUAUUUGAGGUAUAGCCAUAUAUAAAGCAAUCAAAUUUGCUUCUUAAUUAAUCAUUAUCUCGACAUGGCUAAGAAAACUUAUCGUUAAGUUUUCCCAUGAAAGCCAAAACAAAACCUUUUUUUGAUAAUUACAUGAGAAUCAUGAAGUUAGAAAAGUAAUUAUAAAAAUACUCUAAAAUUAAGCGGAAGCCUCAGGAUCGAUAAGUAAAAGACCUUUAACUAAAACACAAACUAAUUGUGCCUUCAGUUUGUCAAAAAUUUGUUCAAACAGAUUACCUUUAAUCCGAACCCUCAAGCUUUGCAAAUUUCUUGGCAGAUUUGUAUCUACAGACAAAAUAAUACAACUACACGCAGAAGUAAUUUCUGCAAAUGGGUCAAAUUAAAAAUAAUAAUAAUAACAUCUAAAUAAUUAUUUGCAAAGCCAAUAUGAUAAUCAAUCCACAUAUUGAAUUAUCAGCAAUUAAAUCAAUGAAUCGUAUUAUUUGCAGAAGCUUUACACAUUGUAAAGGAUAAAAGUGAUGGCAUGAUACGUUACCAUUAUAUUCAAAACCAACCAUGAUCGAAAUUCUGAAUCUUAGACGAGUUGAGUGGCUCUGAUACCACAUGUAAGAUGUAAUAUGAAAAUCAACAAGUUACUAAGAUUACAGAUAUAACAAAUAUACUACAAUAAACCAAUCAAACAAUUAAAGGGAAAUAAACUUAUCUUCCAAAGCAGAGGAAGAAGACGCCAUGACUGCUAGGGUUUCACAGGUUGUCUUCUACUUCCAAUACUUCAAAAUGUCUCUCUACUGUGAAUAGGGUUUGGCGUGAUUGAGAGUACAAGUGUAUGGAAGCAGGGACUUAACCAUGGUAUUUAUAUCAUUAGGGUUUUCAUCACAUCCGACCUAUCAUUGGCUGUACCAAUCUACCCUAUCUCUCUAGUAUUUAAGUCCCACCAUGAUACGAUAUCUUUGUAAUAAAUCUAUCAGAUUUCCUCUAGGUUAAUUGCAAGGGAUAAGACUCCAUAAUCCUUAUUAGGUUAGGACUAUCGGAUCACUUUGGUUGCUAACCACUCGAUAGACUAUUGGCUUACAACAAAAAGAUCCAAUACAACAUUCAUUGUCAUUCACAGUCUUACAUUUUUCUGAUAGGGCAUGAACUUGCAAGGCAGACGAGCACAGGAGUCGACUCAUUGAGUUAAUGGCGGCACGAGUUAGAGAUUGUAGUGGGGAAGACGGAUGAAAUAGAAUUUGGGAGGAGCGGGGAAGACAGAUCGGCCGCCAGGGAGGGGCGCUGUCAUUGUGGGUUGUUGGCUCGACUGUCGAGAUUUCUAUUAUUUAGUUUUAUAUUUUAUUUAAUUGAUUUUCUUAAAAAUUAAAUCAGGUAGACUUUAGUGGGGCACGUGACAUCCUCCGAUUAGAUGGGUAAACAAAGUGUCUAUUGUCACAUACAAGUAUAUGGAUUAUGAUGAUCUCCCAUUCUCUUUCCAUUCCCUUCCAUCAUUCUUUUCAUAUUCUCUAUUUUGUCUUUCUCUUUCUAUAAAAAUAAUAAUAAUAAUAAUAUAAGAUGUUGAUGUGGCUUAACCGUGACCAUUCAAAUAAGAGGGGAGGGUAAAAAAAAGGGAGUAUUUUUGCUCAUCACCAUUUAGUGUGGUAUAUGCUCACCACUUUAUUUAUCACUAUUAGAUGAGUUUGAAUUUCGAAUUGGUGUAGUAGAUAGGUAUAAAUCUCGAAAUUCAAACUUAUCUAAUGGUGAUAAAUAAAGUGGUGAGCAUAAACCACACUAAAUGAUGGUGAGAAAAAAUGCAUUCUAAAAAAAAGAGGGGAGAGAAUCCUUCUCCCAAGUAUAUACCACCAAUGGUGCAAAGGAGAAAGGACAAUGUGAGGAAAGCUAAAAUUUUAAAUUAAAUUUACAAAUUAAAUAAUGUGUAACAAAAAAAAAAAUUAAUGUGCUUGAAACACAAAGUUGUACACCAUGUGUCUCUAACAAGUGGUGAGAUUCUUGUGUUGAAAAAAUAAUAACAUAAAACAUAAAAUUUCCCACCACUUAUAUAAUAACACGUGUACCACUUGCAUUACGGGCAUAAGGAAAAAUUGCUAGUGUCACCAAUAGGUGCACGUUAAUCAAUACUUACAUAAUAAUUUAAUCAUCAACUACAUCGUUUGGUUUAAAAAUUUAGUAUCCUUAACAUUAUCCAAAGAGAAAUGCUAAGAGACUCAAAGGGUGAGAUUCUGCAAUUUCACGGUUUGAUGUUGAUUUGCAUGUCAAUGUAUAAAACAAUGUUGAUCCAAUCACACACAAGUAUAUACCACCAACGGUACAACUAAGGAGAAGUUUCGAACGAUCCCGCUACAUCAGGACCCUUUUAGAGCAUGUUUACGUACACGUAAUGGGAAUCAAAACAUGAAAUUAUAUUCCGAUUACGGACCAUUUCUAUGUUUACUAAAUUUUAAGGAAUCAAAAAUAUAGUGGGACCCACACAAAGUUUGGAAUUCAAUUCCUCACUUUGGAGGAAUUGGAUCCCUUGAUAGUAAGUGGUAUUUGAGUUUCGGAAGAAUGAGGGAAUGGGGAAUCCAUUUUUCAUACCCAUAAUGCCCUCACAUAAUUGCUGAAAUUCCAAUGAUAAAACAAGCACAGGUGCCCAGCGCUAGUCUGUUUCCUUCUCCCUCACUACCGCCCCCUUCCUGUCUUCCCAAGGCCACAUACCCACCAUCAUCUUCUUAGACAACAACGACAGCCAUAAAACAAGAAUAAGCGAAAGCUGAAGAAGAACCCAUUUUAGUUUUUUUUUAUUUUAAACAAUGCUAAAAACCAAACUCCGGACAUUCAAUCAACAUGAAAUACCCCGUAAACUAAACUUCAAAGAAAUUACAUCACCACAACCAACACUUCCCAUAGGCCUCAAACCAACCGUGAAUUUCAAAUUGUUGAAAGAUGAUUGAGGCAGAGAUAGAGAGAACGGUUGGGUUGGGGUUUGGGUUAGUUUUUUAUUUUUAAUUUUAUAUCAAUUGACUUGAUUUCCUGUAAGUUUUUAUAAAAUAUUUAUUUAUAAUAAAAGACAUUCUAGUAAUCAUACAAAUUUUCAUUCCGAUCAAGUGAAUUAGUAAACAACUUACAUUCAAACAAGACCAUUUAUACUCUGAUUCCAGAUUUAAUGGAAAUCUGGAUUUCAAUUCUCCUCAAUUCAAUUCAAUUCCCCCUCAAUCCAAUUCUGUCUAUUUUGAUUAAGGAUUAAUAAACGAACCCUUAAUGUUGAACAAAAGUCAGUACUUUACAUUAAGCUAGAACUAAAAAGGCUACUCCUAGUAGAAGUGACAGAAUUAUUGUUGAGUACGUAGCAAAAUUAUUAAGCAUUUGAGCUAGAACUGUUCGUACAUUUUUUAUCUGGCCUGGUCGAGCAGUGGUACAGCUACAGAGUACUAAUUUAUAUGCCUAACGUUAUAAAACUACAAUAAUAUUUCUCAAUUAUUUUAUAAUUUAAUUUGUUGACACUUCUCAACUGAAUUAUGAAAGCACCGCCGCGAGCCCAGGGACAAGAUACCUCGAGUCCUGACGCAUUCAGGUAUUGUCGCAUAGAUAAUCAUAAGUAAAGUUCCACCAGAGAGAACCAAAUUUGACGAGUUCAGCGGCUUAUACUUUUAUGGGUAUUUGUAGUAUGAUUUUCUUAGAUUUAUUAUUUACAUUAAACGUAUUCGUUUAAAUUUUUUAGAUUAGUGACCGAUUAAAUAUUCAAAUUUCAACUCAAAUCAGAGAUAUAUGAGAACGAACAACUUUUUCUCAAACACCAUUUUUUGUUCUUUGGGAACCAAAAUACAUGGAAAAGUAAAGAUAGGAGCAGCUUCAUCGAUCAAAAUUAUCGAGCACAAACACACACACCAAUACCAUCGAACUACCCGGAAACCAGAACCAGAACAGACCAUGACCCUAAAACACAACCAGAAAACGUUAACACUAACAUCUCAAAGUCCCAAACCACCUAUAACACUAAUCUAACUCCUCCAGCUGCCGCCUUCAGCGCCACCACCUCCUCUGGAGUAGCGAGCACCGCCACCUUCACCGCCUCCAUAGCCACC
rnacentral:lncRNA from 1 species